rnacentral:lncRNA from 1 species
UUGAUGUUUACCUCCACACCUUCCCAUCGGUGUUGGAUUUCUUUGAUUAUAAUAGCUACGCAACAUUCAAGAAAAAAAAAACAGUGGGGUGGGCAGGAAGGAUGGAAUGUGACGCCGAUGCUUGACCGAAAAACCCUGCGUUGAUCCAAAUGGUUGUGAAAAUUUGCGGCCACAAUUAGAUGGAUAUAAUCAAAUGAUCGCCCCAAGACUUUUUCUUAUUUCUACGAUUAUUGAAGGGUAGAGCUAGAAGCCAGAAAAAAUUGAGCCUAAUAACACUAGGACUAUAAAUGAGUUGAAUUUGAAUUAACAGGCUCUUUUUAAUUUUUAAGAUUUUUCGUGUUAUUAAGUAUUUUAAAAUUAUGCUUCUAUUUAUCUAUUUAUUAUUGUGUAUAUUUGUGUUAACUUGUUUAUUCAUUCGUGAAUAUUAAAUAAAUAUUUUAUAAAUACGUUUAUAAACAUAUAAUUGAAAAUAUUCGUGAAUAAUUAAAAUUUAAUCAUGAAUAUAGAGAAAAAAAUGCAAAACUUAUUUAAUAAACAAGCAUGUUCGCAAAUAAUUAAAAGAGCUUUAAAUAAAUUUAAAUAAUUUUAUUAAUAAACAUUCAAUUCAUUUAAUAAAUAAAUUUUAUUUAAUUUUAAUUAUAAAAUAUAAACAUUGUAAUAAACAAAUUUUGCCCGGCCCAUUUACAAUAACCCAAAUUACUAAACCCAGUAACCCAAAUUGCAGGCCCAAUACCUGAACAAGCCCAAACCCCAGCCUAACCCUAAGCAGUGACUAACAGCAGUUUGGGUGCCGCACGUUGCCCCCACGUUCGGCAACCUCCACGUCGCUCACGUUCGGCCCUUCGCGUGCAUCUGUAAAUCACGAACAACAGCAAGCAAAAUGGGGAGGAUAGCUAUUUGUAAACGGAUUUGGCUAUAAAAAAGCCAUUCAAAAUUUUGUAAAGGGGGGGUUCCAAAAAUUAAGAGAAAAAAAAAGAAAUAGAGGAUAGAAGGUUAGCAAAAUUUGUACAAAAACACUGAAAAAAGAUAUCAAAGAGAAAAAGAGAACGUUUUGAAGGUGAUAGAUUCAGAUCUUUUCUUUUUUCGUUUUUUUUACUGUUUUUUUUGUUAUUUUUGCUUCUCUUUUGUUUUUUUGUUUUUUUUUUUUCUUUCAAAGCACAAAGACAAUAAAGAAAGGGAAUAAAAGACAUUACCGGUGCGGUGUUGUUGGAGGACUCCUUUGCUUUGACGCCAUCGGAGUAGAGGAGGAGUUGGAACAGCAGAGGGAGAGAAGAGUUACGGCGCAAUUUUGGGGAGUGGCUGAAAAGUGAUUUUUUUUAGGGUUCUGAAAUGGGGUUAUAUAUGGUUCAAAAAGGACAAUUUGUGCAUUUAGUCCUCAUGUUCUUAUGGAGUGCUUCAAUUAUUUUCUUUAUCUUUCAGAUUUUACCGCAUAUUUUAUUCAUGUUUCAAUCUAACCCGUGUUGUUGUCCAGUGUUUUGGGGAGUGGAUUAAUUCCCCUUUUGGUCCCUCACUAUUAAUUGCGUAUUCUAAUUGGUCCAUUCGCAUUUUAUUAUUUUCAAACUUACCCCAAAUCACUGUUUUAAGUUUUAAAUUAGCCCUUUUGUCAUUAUUAUAUUAUUUUAUUAUUAUUAUAUCUAUAUAUAUACGUAUAUGUAUGUUAAUAUGUAUGUAUUUAUUUCAAAUGUUUUUAGAUACAUAUACAUAUUAUAUAUUUUAUUAUUAUUUGGCUUUCGUAGUUUUUGUUUUUACAUAUGCAUAUAAUAUAUAUUAUAUUUUAUAACAUUUAAAUGUUUUCGUAUGUUACAAUUUUUUUUUUAUAUAUGGUUAUACAUUAUAUAUAUAUAUAUAUUAAAUGGAUUUAAAUGCGUAUAUAUCUUUUAUAUUUUACUAUUAUUUUAUUUUCAUACAUUUAUAUAUGUUUUUUUAUAAUAUAUAUACAUGUUAUUCAAAAUUAUUAUAAAUACAUUUUUCACAUUCGUUUUAUAUAUGUGUACAUGUACAUGCUUUCAAAAUUUAUUAAUAUUUUUUUAAUAUAUACUUUUACUUUUAUAAAUACAUGUACAAAUUUUAUAUUUUAUUUUUAUAACUUUUGUAUACACAUAAUUUAAAGUAAAAUACUUGUUUCAUAUUGCAUUAACCUUUUUAACAUAUUUUUAAAAUACAUUUUGAUUUUGUCAAAUAUUAAAAUCGAUUUCUUUUUUAUGAUUCAAGGGUUUUCAAAAUAAAAACGAUAUUCAAAGUUAGGGAUUUUCGAGGAAAAUUGAGCCCUAACGUAUUGGGUUCCGAUUUUCUUCGUUAAUUCCAAAUAACCGAGAAUAUUCGUUAUUUAAAAUAAAUAAAAAUCAUUUUCGGGAAUUCGAUAGGUUAUGUCCUAACGUAUUGGACAUGACCUAUUAUUUUCUCGAAAUGAAUAUUUUCUUUGAAAUUAAUUGAAAAGUGAUAUUCAAAAUUCGGGGAUUUUGAGAAAUUGUACCCUAACAUAUUGGGUCUCAAUUUCUUCGCAUGACUUGAAUAAUUGAUUAUCCUUUUCAGAUUUCAACAUUUGAAUUUAACAAAAUCUUUUUAAUUUUCGACACCAAGACAUUAAAUAAUUAAUUUGGUACCGAUUUUUGGGCGUUACGAGGGUGCUAACCCUUCCUCGUGCGUAACUGACUCCCGAACCAGUUUUCUCAAAUUUCGUAGACCAAAUUUGUUUUUAAGGUGAGCCGAUCACACCUAAAUCACGGAUCGGUGGUGACUCCAAUUUUUUAAAGUCGAUAACUAAAUUUUUUGUUUUCAAAAAAAUGGUUUAGACAAACAUAAUUAUAGAUUUUCUAAAGCCUUGCAAGCUAAGGUGGGCUUUGGAAGAGUUUUUUUUUUUUUUUACCAUUUAAGCUUAAUUCAAGGAUAAAAAAUUAAGUAUAGAAAAUAUUAUAUUUACAAUUAAUAUUUAAAAUAUUAUAUAAAUUUCUAAUAAUGAAAUUAAAAUUAUAAUAAUUUGUAAAUAUCAUAAGUAAGACUACAUGAAUCAUACCUUUCAUAUGAAUUGAAGUUUUAUUAUUAAACCAAUCGUAAUAAGUAAAACGAUCAAAUAAUCAUAGAACUAUUUUAUAUAAGGUUACCUUCAUUAAAAAAAUUAAAAUAUAAACUUAUAUUAGAUAUUAUAAUGAUUUAACUUUUUCCCCAUAAUAAAUGUAUAAUGAAAACAUUAAUAUCAUAACUAAUGUAAAAUAUAUUCAUUUAACUCAUUGAAAAAGUAAUAAAUAUUUUAAACUAAUAUAAUCAAAUGACAUUUAAACUAAAAAUGUUACCAAUUUUUUAUACACAAUUAUAAAUUUUAUAAAAAAAAAUCAAACUAAAGAAUGUUUGGAGGGGACUAGACUUGUUUAUGGGCUGGGUCGGAUUAGGUAAUAAAAUCUUAGGCUCGGGUGGCCCAUAUUAAAAAAAUUAUUUUAUUUUUAUAUAAAAAAUUAAAAAUAUAAUAAAUCAAAAACACUAAAAAUAUUAAAAUAAAUGUUUCCUUACAAAUUAAAAAUAAAUUAAAGAAUUAGAUGGUCUAGUAUAUUGCGAUGUAUGAUUUGAUUGAAUUUAUUAUUUUACAGAUUAGGAAUGAGAAACUAUCAUCCCAUUCAACACAAAGAUAUGUGCAGCUUAACAACUAGAGGUGUCCAUGGGCUAGGCGGCUUGGCCCGGCCCGAAAUAUGGGAGGGUUCGGGUAAAAACAUAGGCCCGAAAUAUGGGUUUGGGCAAAAAAAUGAGGCCCGUUUAGAAAACGGCCGGGCCUCGGGUACCACUUUUUUGCCCGGGCCCGGCCCGACCCGAAUAUAAUAAAUAUUCUUUUUAUUUUUUUAAUUUUAAUAUAUGUAACAGCCCAAUUUUCAGUAGUGUCAGAAUAGUGAUUUGAGAUCACUAAAUCUGAUGAAAACAUUAGAAAAUUUUAUUAAUUAAUAAUUAUAAGUUCAGUGUGAUUUUAGAAAUAUUUUUAAAUUNNNNNNNNNNNNNNNNNNNNNNNNNNNNNNNNNNNNNNNNNNNNNNNNNNNNNNNNNNNNNNNNNNNNNNNNNNNNNNNNNNNNNNNNNNNNNNNNNNNNNNNNNNNNNNNNNNNNNNNNNNNNNNNNNNNNNNNNNNNNNNNNNNNNNNNNNNNNNNNNNNNNNNNNNNNNNNNNNNNNNNNNNNNNNNNNNNNNNNNNNNNNNNNNNNNNNNNNNNNNNNNNNNNNNNNNNNNNNNNNNNNNNNNNNNNNNNNNNNNNNNNNNNNNNNNNNNNNNNNNNNNNNNNNNNNNNNNNNNNNNUUUUUGAAGUAUAUUAUAUAUAUUAUAUAUGUAAAUAUAUUAAUUAUAUAUAUUAUUAUAUUUCAAAUAAAUAAAAUUGUUGACAAAUGCAUGGUGUAUAUGAUGACAUGUGGAAGAAUGAAAUACAUACAUAUUAGUAAUGAUUACAUAUUUACUUAUUAUUUAAGUAAGAAAUAUUAUAUUAUUAUUUUAUUGUUAUUAUAUUAAACUAAUUUAAUAAAAGAAAUAAAAGAUAGAAAAAGAGAAAUGGAAACAGAACAGGCAAACGAAAACAGGGGAGAAAGGAAAGAAAAAGAAAAAGGGAAGGAAAGAAAGAAAAUUUGGGGUUUCAAGGUUUCAAGCUCAAUUGAUAAGUCAAAUUAAGUUAUUUUCUUAUAAUUUUUGAGUUUUUGGAGUUCUAGAACAAAAUAUUUCAUGGUUUAUGUUGAAAUUUGGGAAGAUGUUAUAUUUCUAGACAUUGAUUAUGUUGAAUAAAUGAAAGAAUUAGGGGUUAAAUUGAUUGAAUUUCAAGUUAGAAGUUAGUAAAGGAUUUAAUUGUAAAAUAAAGUGUAAGUUUUGAAUAGUAGGGACUAAAUUGAAAGAAUCCCUAAAUUAGAGAUUUAUGGUGAAAAUGAAGAGUUAAAAUGAGUUUUUAGUAAGAAUUAAGAGAGAAUAUGGAGUUAGAUUGGGAAAAUAAAAUUAGUAUUGAUAAGGGAUUAAAUUAGAAUUUAGGUAAAGCUUAGGUAUAAAUGGAAAUGUUUUGAUGAAAUUGUGUUUUAAUAAUUUUUAAUUGUUUAAUUACGUAGCUAAUGUCGUGCAAGAGUCAUUGCCAAGAAAGGAAAGGGGAAGGUGAUCAAGGAGUGACUUUUGAAAAUUUACGGUUAGUAUUACCAUAAUUUGAAUUUAAUUAUUAAUUGUUAAAAUUUAAAUUAAUAUACAUGAUAAGAAAAUUGAGGUGAGUAUCAUGAUUGAAUCGAAUGAAAUAUAUAUAUAUAUAUAUAUAUAUAUACAUAUUGAUAUUGAAUUUAUUGAUAGUAAUUGUUGAAUUUUGAAUAAUAUGUUUAGUAAAUAAAAAUAAGGAGAAUAUCGAUAUUUAAUUGAAUGAAUUAAAAAUAUGAAUUGAAUAAAAGUGAAUUAAAUUAUGAAUAAGUGUGAAUACGUGAAUUGAGUAUUGACUGAAAAGUGGUUUGAUUCGAAUCGAGGUAUGAUUUGUGAAAUAUGUAUUGGUGCUGAAUUGUAUAUUGAUUUGAAAGUGGGAAGUGAAUUUGAAAUAGAAAAAUAUAUUGAAUCAAAUGGUGAUUAAAUUGUAUAAUGAUUUGAAUUGAAAGUAUGAGAAAGUGAUUGAAUUGAAAUGUGAUUCGGAAACCCUAUUAACUAGUCGGGCUGAGUCGGAUAUAGUUGGCAUGCCAUAGGAUUGGAAGUGUUCAGGGAUACUUCGACCUUGAGUCGAUGAGACACUGGGUGUCAUACUGUUACUUCGGAUAGAUUCGAUGAGGUACUGGGUACCAACUUACUUCGGCUUUGCCGAUGAGACACUGGGUGUCAACUAUUGCUUCGAACUAUCCGAUGAGGCACUGGGUGCCGUACUGGUGUGUUUGGUUGGAUCCGUGUAUCCGCCAAAGUCCGAGUCAUGUAAUAGGGGGAAAAUANNNNNNNNNNNNNNNNNNNNNNNNNNNNNNNNNNNNNNNNNNNNNNNNNNNNNNNNNNNNNNNNNNNNNNNNNNNNNNNNNNNNNNNNNNNNNNNNNNNNNNNNNNNNNACGCGUAGCAUUCUCCCUUACUAUAAAUGUGAGAAUUAUGGUUCAAGAAACAAAUAAUGAUAAAUUUUAUGAAAUAGUUUUUGGUAAUAUGAAAUGAUGUAAAAAUGACAAGUGAAAAUAAAAUGAUUUGAAAUAGUGAAAUAAUAUGUGAAUUUAAUUGAAUAAAAGUUAUUAAAUUUUAUUUAUGGAUUUAAUGUGUAAAUUGAGUGUUAAAAGAUUAUAAGUGUAAAAUUGAAUAUAAAUAGAAAUGAUAAUGAAUGAGUUGAUGAAAUGAUUGAGUUUGUAUGGAUUGGAAUGAGUUAUUAGAAUGAGAUGUUGAAAAAUCCAAUAAAAUUUAGAUAGUGAAACAAGGUAUGAAUACAAUUAAAUAUAAGAUUGAAAUAUUGCUUAUUGUUAUUAAUGAUCAAGUUGAUUUAAAGUAUGAGGCAAUUAACGAAUAAUUGUAGACAUAAAUUAAAUGUAUAUAAAUUAUCGAUUAAAGUUAUUAAUUUGAAUUAUGGUAAUACCACUGAGUAUUCCCAUACUCAGCGUACGGUUGUUUCCGUGCGCAGGUUAAUAGAAAACCAGUGUUCGGUCCAGCAUCCAGAGUAAUCCCGACCUCAGAGAAAUUUAGCGAUGUAUUUUUCUUUUGAUAACGUGGCAUGUACCUAAGUAAUGUUUAUACCUAAGUGAUGUAUAGGGAUUAGUCAAUUUGAAUGUUUGUAUCUAUGAUAUUGCUAAAGGAAGAUGUGUGAGUAUGUGAUAAUGUUUGGCUUUUAAAAUGGUUAAGUAUGAAUAUGUUUGGUAAUAUGUAUGUUUAGAUGAUAAAUCAUGCAUGGAAGUCAUGAAAGAGUAAAAAUUUGUAAAGAAACAGAUUUCAAGCAGCUACAGUGAUGUGACUUUGAAAAAUCACCUAGGAUAGUAUAAAAUUAAUUAGAGGGUGAAUGAUAUAUGGAAUUAAAGCUUGUUGAGUCUAUUUUCACGGAAAAAUAACGGUUUAACAAAAGAAAUUUUAUAUUUUGAGAUAUGAGAACUUUAGUGAGACAGGGUCAAAACUGUUUUUGGAGUCCUCUGUUCUAAGUUUAGAAAAUCAUUAUAAAUUGCACAAAAAUGGUUAUGAGUUGUAGUUUAUAUCUAUAGAUUCCUUAUUGAGUAUAUUUUCUGUAGAAACGAGUAACAACUUCAUAUGAAAAUCCUAUAGUGAGAAAAUUUAUUUUUAGUGACAAGAGGUCAGGACAGUCAAGUGGUAAAAUAGGAGAGACUUUAACUAAUAAAUUGUACUAAUUGGCUGAACCAAAAAUUCUGAAAAUUUUAUAGUAGGAAGAUAUAUGAGUCUAGUUUCAGGGAAAAUUUUCGGAAUUAAAUUUCGAGUCCCGUAACUCGAUUUAUAAUUAAUUUAGUAACUGCUGCGUGAUUAGACAGAUUGCUGUAAAUAGUGAAAUUAAUUUUCAAAACAAGUUUUUAUGCUUCGAAUUAGUAAGAUAAGCUAAGUAAUGCCUCGUACUCGACUCCGGAAACGGUCUCGGGUAAGGGGUGUUACAAUAUAUUUUUAAAAUAAUUUUUUUAUUUUUAAAAUAAUUUUUUGGUGUUUAUUAAAAAAAGGGCCGAGUCGGGCUUAGAAAAUUUUUCCCGGGCCAGGCAUGGACAAAAUUUCAGGCCCAUAUUUCGGGUCGGGCAGGACCUGGGCCUAGGACGCGGGCCAAAAUUUUUUUUGGGCCCGAACCGGCCCAUGGAUACCUCUAUUAACAACCAAAUAUCUCUAAAAUAGUAACAAAAUUAACAAUAAAAUAAGAGUUAUACAAUAUCUAAAGAAUAACAACAAAAUAAUAGCAACAUAUAAUAGUGAAAUAGCAGCAAAACAAUGGGAAAAAAAUAGCAAAACAGUGAGAAAAUAACAAAUUUUUUUGCAAAUUUAAAUCAGGUCGGACCUGAGUCAAAAAAAUCUUACCCGAAGCCCGAACUAUUUUUUAAACGGACUUUAUUUUCUCCCCAAACCCUCAUACUAAAAGAAAUUUAUUUAAUAAAAUGAUCUGAUAAGCUUAAAAUAUAUUUUGAGCCAAUCCAAAAUGAUUUCAAAGUGUUUUUCAACAUUUCAUAUUUUAUUAUAGGUUCUUAACCUUAAACCCUAAAACUCAUAGCCCCUUCCCAACCCUUAAAUAAGAGAAUAAUGUGCUUCAAAGCACUCGAACCCACGUCCUCUUGCACUGACAACAAUACCAAUGCUAAUCGAGCUAAGACUCAAUCGACUUCAACAUUUCAUAUUUAUUCUUAAGUUAUAUUGUGAAAAUUUUAUUGAAAAUCUCAUUAUUUUCAAAGUUUUAAAAAACUCAAAAAUCCUUUAAUAAAUCGAUUUGAUAUAUUUUAAAAAUAUUUUGAAAAUUUUUUUGAGUCAAUUCAAAAUAUUUUAAAGUUAUUUGUAAGCAUUUUAGUGGUUAAGUAUCAAUGUUUUAUCUAGAAUAUUGAUACCUUAGAAGUCAAUAGCCACAACCAUUUCUAGAGGGUAAAAUAUAGAUACCUAUUCUUAAAGUAUGAGUACCUAUUUUUUAUGUAUCAAUAUUUGACCCAAAAGUAUCAUGGUAUCGAUAGUUAGUCUCAUGGUAUUGAUAUCUAACUAACCAAGGCCUAAAUUUAACACUAUUUCACUUUUAAUAGUUAUUUUUCAUCCUUAAUUGUUUCAAAUGACUAGAAACACAUCUUAAUACUACUACAAGAAGCAAGAGAUCAACAUUCAAAUAAAAAAAAAUUCGAUAUCCAAGCAUCAAAUGAAGUGAAAAUACAAGAAAACUUUAAUUUCUUCAUUCAUUCUUUUUUACAUAGUUUUUGUAAGAGUUUUAUUGUAUAUCUUUGUAAAAUCUUUAUUCUAUCAUACAGAGAGCUUAAAAAUUGUAAAUAUAGGUAUUUCUUUAUUCACACAAAAUAAAUCUUUGUGAAGGGGGGAGAGGUUUUAGUUUUGGCCUUGAAAGUUAGAGAGGUUAUUAGGUAAGUCUUGGAAAGCAAUAGGUUCUAGUUAAUCCUUGAAAACUAGAUUAUUUUUUUCUAAGCAAUAAAGAAUAUAGGGGGAAAAGGUUCCAUCUAAGAUUGCAAAAGACAGACUUUCUUUAAGGUUAUUUCUUAUCCUUAAAAGGUUACAAGUUAGUGAAGGGGAGAAAACGUUGACAAAUGAGGUUAAUGUAGUGAAGGUAAGUAAUCGAGGUUAAGCAACUAUAAAUUAACCGUGUCAAUCUUUUCUAUCUUUCCUCACCCCUUAGCAAAAUAAUUUCAAUCACCAAUACAUCUCCUCUUGAUAAAAUCCACCCACCAAUGCUUAUCAACCGGUACUAAUGCAAGGUCUCCAUUAGAAGUAAAUAUAUUUUUCACUCAAGGCACUCGAAUUGGAAGAUAAUGGUUAUUAAAUGAAAGUAAUAAAUAUGGAAGAUGGUCAUUCUAUUUUUUUCCUCCACUCUCAUUGAAAAGUGGUGAUGAUAUUCUUUUGCCCAAACAUAUAAUUUUGAUGCUUAGAGAACAAUCACAAGGAGUCUUUUAGGAAUGUCCAACGAAAAAGAUAUAUGGAAGGCAUAAUCAAAUGCCAAGACCAUAAUACACAUUUGUGCUUUGAAUGUAGAAAUCUUUAAUAAUGUUUUCUUACGUGGAAGUAUCAAGAAAAUAGGAGAGGGUAAAGGAUACUAUGGAGCCAAAAAAGAAGAAAAGGAUGUAGAAGGGUACUAUGAGAGUUAAUGUUGAACAAGUGGCAAUGCAAUUGAAGAUGAACAAUAAAGUGGAAGUCUCUCUUCAAAUCCAAAUAUGGCCUGUUCGAUGACUCUUAAAAAAAAAAAAAUCCGAAAUAUGUUAAAAUUCUCAUUCUUUAAAUUCAGAUGAAUUACAAAAUGUUUUUAAUGAAUUAGUAUCAUAAUUUGAGAUAAUGGAUUCCAAAAACUUAAAAGAUGCAUUUAAAUUAAUUUUUGCUCUAAAAAUCCGAAAAUUGUCGUUGAGAACCCGCCUACAGAAACGUCAAAGCGGGUUCCAUACAGGGCCUUAGCGAGCCACAGGGUAACCAAUCGAGAAAUGGAACCAACGAACCGUCGAUGUCUACGUCCAAACAAUAGCCGUUCGUUUGUAGUAUUCAGAAUGGGACCCGCAUUUCUCCGCCAGGUUAAGAUUUUCCGGCGAUAAAAAAUGGAAGUGUUUUGUUUACUGUAAUUUUAUUUGUUCUAAACAGAAAAUUUAAUUUCCCUGUCCGUCUAUUUUAUUUGCUUAAUCUAUUUUGACCAUAUUUCUUCAACACAUCGGCUUCCCCUCUCUCUCUCUAGAACGCUACCUUGUUUUUCUCUCUCCCGAGCUCUGCCCUUAGAUCUGACAAGACUGUCGGACUCUGUCGAUGGCUUCGAAGCGGAUCCUGAAGGAGCUCAAGGAUCUUCAGAAAGAUCCUCCUACUUCAUGCAGCGCCGGUAACUUCCCUUCCCUGAUCUUCGAUAUAUAUAUAUAUAUUUACAAACGUUUCCUUAGUUUCUUUGAAGCUUGAUCUAUAUCCUUUUGUUUAUUUGCGUGUAUGGUAUAUACUAUUUUUUUCCCUUGUGUUCGGUUACCACUUACCAGUAAUUUUAUUAGCGAACUGCGGGUAAAGUUUUGUAGAUAAACCAAAUGCAGCUAAUAAUAGAAAAAUCAAAGCCUGAAACUAUCGUUGUUAGAAAUUAAGUUAUUAUUUACUUAGAUAAGAAAUUGAACGGUUUAUGCAAUACAACCUUUGUAUUAUUACAGUGAAGUAUUCAUGAGAUCUUUAAUCAUUCGGUUGUUCUUCUUUAUGAAGUAAAUUUGGUGGCUAAAUUGUUUUCCGUUGCUUCUAUGCCGGUUUUGGCAUACAAAUCAUGCCUUUCCACUGCUGACUUCUAGUCAUUAUUUUUGAAAGUUUUGGCUUAUAUGUAAUGAUGAACUUGGUAGUUCAAGCAUGCCUACAUUAGCAAGUGUAUAGUAUUUGGUAGGAUUUGUUUUUUUUGUGGUUAAUUCCUGCUAUUAGUCUCUGCACUUUGCAAAAAUUAUGGAUUUAGUCCCUAUACUUUAAUUUGGUCAUUUUUAAUCUUGUACUUUUCAAAUUUUAAAAGUUCAGUUCUUAUCAAAUGAUAAUUGUUAAAUUCAUUAAGUUUUGCUAUUUCCAAAAUCUAAUUUGUCAAACACUUUAUCAUAUGUAUAAUACCAUGUCAGCUUGGUUUUUCCACAUAUUAUUCGAUUAAAAUUCAGUUAAUAGAUUAAUGACUAUCAUUUGCAUCAAGAAUAAAAGUUUAAAAUUCGAAAAAUAUAGGGACUUAGAAUGAUCCAGUUGGAGAAUAUGGAUUAAAUCUACAAUUGUAUGCAUAGUACAAGACUAUAAUUGAAUCCAACCAAAUGAAUUUAAUUGCUACUAUUUGGGUCAGUAUUAACAUUUCAGAAUUUGAAAAGUACAGGGACUAAAAUUGACAAAUUCAAAAAAUACAGAAACUAAAAUUGAUCAAAUUAAAGUAUAGGGACUAAAUCUACGACUUUCACAAAGUACAGAGACUAAUAGAAAAUUUUAACCCUUUUUUUUGCUUUAUAGGGUAUUAAAUGAUCGACUGUCAUAACUUUUUCUUGUUUUAGCAUGAUCAAUCUCUGUGUAAUAGUUUCUUGAGUAUCAAGUUUCUUUUGAGUACUUACAAAUUAUUUAUUUCGUUGCUAUGAUUCCAUAAUCCGUAUUUAUACUUUUUUUAAUAAUUAUGGUCGUGGUCAGCUACUUUGAAGGUUUAAUUUAUGGUAUUUUUAGGCCUGAAUGACCAUGAAAUUUAUGUAUAUUGUAGACAGUAACCUCCACCAGAUUGUUUUUGGUGUCUGCAAGUAUUGGAAUAUAGUAUAGUCACAAGAGGUUUGUAUGUUGACACAUUUCAGCUAGCGAAGGGUGAUGCUGUGACAGCCUGAUGGAAGAUGUUCAAGUUGUUAUUUUCUGUGUUUUAAGUUCCUUGCGUGCAGUACUAAUUUAGGAUAUCUGAAUUUUGGAGUUCUUAGUCUUGAUGGGAUUAUUGGAUGCAGUAGCAAAAGGUUCUGUCUGGUAUGAAAUUAUAGCAUAUGAUAUAUUAUUGUAAUCCAUAUGCUGUCAGGUCCUGUAGCUGAAGACAUGUUCCAUUGGCAAGCCACAAUAAUGGGGCCCCCUGAUAGUCCUUAUGCUGGAGGUGUCUUUCUAGUGACGAUUCAUUUUCCUCCCGAUUAUCCUUUUAAACCCCCGAAGGUAAGGUCUAUAUGUUUUUUGUUAUGAUUUUGCAGUUGCCUUGCCCUAACCUUUCACGCUAGACUAUCAUGAACCAUGCUUAAGAUAUUAUGGGAACCAUACAUAUAUGUGGGUUUUUAUCUUUGAAUGUAAAUAAUAAAGCAGCUUAUGCAACCAAAUAGACUUUUCCCUCUUUUCAUUUACUUUUUUGGGGCGGAUGGCUUUGGCUGUAGUCGUAGACAACAAAAGUUACUUAGGUAAUGAAAACAAACUCUACCUAUCUGUUUUCAUUUCAUUGUGUGCUCUCUUCUUUGUUUCUUGCAGUUUGCUUUUAGAACCAAGGUCUUUCACCCAAAUAUCAACAGCAAUGGUAGCAUAUGCCUCGACAUACUAAAGGAGCAGUGGAGCCCAGCCCUGACUAUAUCAAAGGUUUUCAACUUAAACAAUGUUCCAUAAGCUAAUGGCUAAUAAUUUCAUGAUAAACGUAUGUUAAUAAGAAUGGUAGAUAGAAGAGUUAGAGGUGGCAAAGGAGCAGUUCUAGGCAUUUCUUGUUUGCAUCAUUUUGGAUUUAAGCCUUUCGGGUUUGGGUUAGUCUUUUUCUUUUAAGGUUUUAUGAAAGAUGCGGCUACUCCAACAUGCUUUUCGAGGUCAUGGUUGGCGUUUUCUUUAGGCUCGAAUCUUUUGGAUUCAGAUUUUUUCCUUUUCUUUUUUCAAAUUGAAUUUGAACUUUUUGAGCGGGUUUUCAAGUUUGAGUUCGUUUUGCUGUCUCUAGAUAGAAUAGUAAACAUCAGGUAGGCUUUUGGAGAUAUUCAGCCCCUCCAAAAUUUGAAGCCAUGAUAUUUAGCCAAUAUGAAAGUGACCUCUACUUGAUGAAGCACUGUUUGUAGGCUGAGAAUCUGUUUGCCAAACCCUGGCAUGUGUUUUCAGCAUUUGUGUUGUACAAAGUUAGGCAUGGGAUGUUCCCAAAUUGUACAUGUCACGGUUGAACCGUAAUUGCAUGCGACUCCUUUGACUUUCCCCCGAAUUCAUCAAACACAACCUGUUCCAAUGUAGCAGGUUGAAAUUAGACGGUCCAAACUAAUCUGGAGUAUCAUUCUGUUUUCCAAAUUGUGGUCAUCUUAUGGGAUUUAGUUAACAAAGGAAUAUUGAUCAGCGUUACAAUUUUGCAACCUCUUUCUUUUAUUUCCUGGGCUUUAUUUAUUUAUUGGUGGGUGCAUUCCAUUCAGUUGGUUAACCAUUACUGUAUUUUUAAGAGGGUAGAAAGGUUCUUGUUUCCUAUUUCAGGUGUUGCUUUCUAUCUGCUCCCUCUUGACGGACCCAAACCCAGAUGACCCUCUGGUUCCGGAAAUCUCUCACAUGUACAAGACAGACAGAGCUAAGUAUGAGUCAACUGCUAGGAUCUGGACCCAGAAAUAUGCAAUGGGCUAGUCUAAUAAAUUGGUAAGAAAAAGUUUAGGAUAUUGUUUCCUCAUUACUCACUGUGUAUAAAGCAACUGUGCAUUUGUGGCGAUUGCUCCUGUAGUAUACUAAAUAGACAAAGUGAAGACUAGAUGGAAAGCUGGCUGAUGUUGUAUAUGGAACUGCUGUAUGAUCAUUAGAUAAUGUUGUUGCAUAAAAUCGAGUGCGGUAGACUGACCGAAAAUAGUAACGGACAAUGAUAUGAAAGCCUUGUAAUAUGACUAAUAAUAGAAAGCCCACUAUGUAAUGACAUCAAAGUCCAAUAAAGUGACACGAGUUAGUGAUUGAUUUUAUGCGGAAUUUGUCUAAAAGAUCUUUGAAUUUUAUAAUUUUUUAGUAUAAAUUUCAUGUAAGAAUUUAUUCGGUUGUAACAAAAAAAAGACCCUUCGAGUUUAGUAUUUUAACGUUUAUUUUAUUUUAUUUUUAUUUUGGAAUUAUGAGCAAUAAACAAAAAUAUAUUGGGUAAAUGUAUUGUUGACCUUAUGCUUAUUCCAAUAUUUAAAUAUAAGUAGGGACUUGUAGAAUUAGAAAAAUGUUAAUUAAGUUACUCGACUCCUAUUUUGAUAACUUAAUUCAGCUUGAAAUUUUUAAUGAGUUAAUUCAGUUUCAUACUUUUAUUGACUGAGAUCAUGUAUAAUCACGCACAAACUUAAUUACUACUUGUUUAAGGAUUUGAAUUUAUUAAUUUAGAAUUUUUUAAAAAAAUUAAAAUUUAUUUUUCUAAGAAGUUUUUAGAAAUAUAAAAUUUUUAUUUGUUUCUUUUAUUUAUAAUUUUUGUAAUAUUUUUAGAGAGUCGAACUUGUUUAUUUUCGAAAUUGACAGGGUAUUUACAUCAAUUUAUUAUUCGAGUUAUUUGAGUUAUAAAUUUUGAAAAAUUAAAUUAUUUAUUUGAAUUUAUUAAAAAAUGAACUACUUGAUUUGAUUAAUUAGGAAUUUAAAAAAAUACUCUUUUUUUUUUAAAAUUGAAUAAAGUUUUACUCACACAAAUUAAAAAGUCAAAAUUGACAUGUAAAAAUCUCAAUGAUCUAGUUUUAAAAAUUUAAUUUCGGAGUUGAAAAAUCUUUCGUUAAAUGCAUAUUCCAAAGGAAAUGAAUCCUUGUUGCUACAAAUUACUUAGUUUAAGAAUUACAACAUUCUACAGAAAAAAGGGGAGAAGAAGAAGAAGAAGAAGAAGAAAGAAUUACAACAUCAUCUGGUACAAUAGUGCUGAAAGACAUAAUUGUCCUCCAAACUCUCCCUUGUUAUUCACAUGGUCCAAAAUAAAAUAAAAAAAUAAUUAAUAGAAUUAUUAGGGAUUAAAUUCAGUUACUUUUGUCAUUAAAUCAAAAAAGUAUUCGUUAAUUAACGUUGUAUUUAUAAAAUAAAUUAUGAUGAAUAUAAUAUAACUUCAAAUUUUAGUGAAAGUGAAGUAUUAAAAAUAAAUCACACCCGUCAAUACUAUUUGUUUUGCGUUAUUAACAAAAUGGUUAAAUUUCAAUUUUGGUCCCUCCACUUUUAACUAUACAAAAUGGUCAAAUUUUAAUUUCAAUCAUUAUAUAUAUAUAUUUAAAUUUGAGAUUUAUUUUUUGACAUAAUUUGGUACCUCGGCAUUUAUAAUGUCAUUAAUUAGUCUAAAUAUUUUAUUCUAAUUAAAUCGCCAACGUAAAUUAAAGGAUUGUUAAUAUCGUUAAAAUUUUCAUUAAAUUCAAGUCCAUUACAGUGUUAUUUUUUGCGGCAUGAUUAUCGAGCGAGUAUUUUAAUUGAAAAAAAACUUAGAAUGCCGCACCAACAGUUUUAAUAGUGUUACUAAAUUCGAGAAAUAAAAUAACAAAAUAUCAAAUAUACAAAGAAUAAGAAAUCUAAGAUUUAACUAUUUAAUCCAAAAGUAAUUACUGAGUCGAAAACCAUACUAGUCUGCUUUGCUCUCGUCCUUGCAUUCCUUGGCACGAUGAGGAAUGGAUGUCUCCAUUUUAAUAGUUAUUUAUGUAUUUUAUAUAGUAAAUAAAUUUAAAAAUUCAUUUUAUUUAUUUUGCUUAGAGAAAUAAUAAAGUAAUUUAAAAAAGGUGGGUUUAAUAUUAUCCGAAACAUUUGUCAACUUGUAAAUUAUUCCAGUACUGUGUUAAGAUGGUGACAUCUAAUAAGAUUUCUGUUUGAGUGAAAAAUUGGUUUCAAAUGUUUUAAAUGAUUAAUUUCAAUACAAUCAUCUAAUCUCAUUUUCUGUUUCAAAUGUUUUAAAUGAUUUCAAUCUCAUUUUUGCUUCACAUGUUUUCUGGGCUCUCCAUUUCAACACAGUGCUUUUAACGCUGGUCAUUCUAAUUUUGUAUUAACACCAAGAUGUUGCCAUCUAAUGAAUUUUUUGUUUCAAAUGUUUUAAAUGUUGAUGCAGCACAUUGAGUCACCCAAAUAUUGUGAUUUCCACUACACAAAUCGCACAAUACCUUUUCUUUUUCUUGUUCUCCAAUCAUUUCUACCUUCUUCCAUUUAUGGUUCUUUUUCAAUUAUCCAAUCACAUUUUAACAAUUUUUUUCAUGUCAAUAACACAUAAUUUUAGUAUUUUUUUUUACCCUGAACCCUAAAUAUGGAAUCCCGAACUUGUAACCCCAAUCUCAUAACCCGUAAUCUCGAACCUCCAAUAUUAAAUCCUAAACCCAAAAGGUUCAAGGUUCAAGUUCAAAAUUUGGAGUUUUGGGUUCUGGGUUCCGAGUAAAAUAAUUACUAAAACUAUGUGUUAAUGACAUAGAAAAAUUGUAUAAAAAUUACUAUUUUUUUAAAAAAAUUGGUUGCACAAAAAAAAAUAACUUACGCAAAAGAAAAAGAUUAAAAUUUGUAAAAGGAGAAAAAAAUGUUUGUUUAUAAUUUAAAAAAUUAAUGAUUUUAAGUAAUUUAAUUAAAGUUAAAUUAAGUUGGAGAAAAUAUUAGAUAUAGAAAAGUGUAUAAUAAUACUUUAUUCUAUUUAAAAUUUAAUGACGUGAUAUUAUCUAUACUUUUUAGGAUCAUCCUAAUAUAAUUUAUUCCUAAUAUUUAUUGAUCGUGUAUAAAUGUGUUCUAAUAAUAGUUUUUUUUUUUAAUAAUUGAGGAGAGGAAUGGAGCUGUUUGGGAUCAAACCCAAACUCUUAUACCUACAACAUAAUGCCAUACCUUUUAAUUUUUUUUUAUCCAAAACACUUCACGAAUAAUUAAGUAUAAUUAUUUAUAUGCAUGCGGGAUUUUAUUUUGACAUUUUUAAUUAAUCCGACAUUAAAACAAUUAACUUAAUGAACAUUUUCUGCCAUAAUAUUAUAUGAAAUCUGAAAGAAAGAAUACAAUAAUUUCAUUAUUUUAAAACUUAUAUUACACUAUAAUUAAUAUAAAUAUAUAAAAAUUAAAGUUUCUAAUAUUUGAAGUGAUCAAAAAUAAUUUUAUAUAUUUAAUUAUGAUAACUUCUAAUAUAAAUAUUAUAAAAACCAAAGACUCUAAUUUUAAAUGAUUUCAUCCAACAUUGGCCAAUUUAAAACUUAAUUAUUCUUUUAUGAAUAUUAACUAUAUUUUGUAUUAUUUUCUAAAUUAGUAAAAUUAUUUUUAUUAUGAAAUAAAUGUGAUAAAUUUAUUCAAAUUUAUUAUUUUGAAAGCAUUUAAUUUAACCAAAAUUAUUGUAUUUUUAAUCUUGAAAACUAAUUUGAAUUAAUUAAAUUUUUUAUUAAUAUUUCCUUUAAAUAAAUUCUAAUUGCCACAAUUAUAACUAUUUAAUUGUCAUAUUAAUAUUUUGUUUAAACUCUAAACCCUAUUUUUAAAUAUGUUUAAUUUUUUUGGUUCGAGCUUAAUAUUUUUUAUAUAAAUCCUCUUAAAUUUAAAACGGAUCUUCAAGUUUAGACGAUAACUCAACUCAUGAGUAAAUCUAUAUUCAAUGAAAUUUAUGAAUUUAAGUUUGUUUAUUUAUAAAAUAGUAUUAUCUUUUUUAUUAGAUUGAUUAUAAUAUAAUUAUAAUGUUUUUAAAAUUAAAUUAAUAUAUUAUGUUUGAAUUUCGUAAUUACAUUAUUAGAUUUUAAAUAAAUAUAAAUAUAUUAUUCGACAGUGACUGGUCUUUUGUUUUCGCUUCGACAUUGAAGAGAAAUUUGGAUGCUUGAUUAGCAAGCAAAUUAGAAUAGGGGACUGACUUGAAAAAGGUAAACGGCUUAACUUUUAAUACUUAACCGUUAUACAAUAAAUGAGGUGUUUUAAUGAACUUUAUUUUUCUCAUAUUUUAGAUGAUGCUACUUUCCUUUUUUUAAUUAUAAUAAUAAGAUAAAAUCCGAACCAUCAGCACAAUUAGCACGACUCGAAUUUAGGCCCUAAGAUAAUGAAAAUUUUUAACCAUCAAAUCAUUGCAUGGGAUUCUAAAUUAUACUACUUUCAAGUUUCAAUUCAACACAAAUCAAUAUUCUCUCUCCCUUACUUUUUAAUUUAUAUUUUAUUUAAACUCUCAAGUGCAUGUUGGUUGACAUUUAUCUUCCAAAAUCUCUGACAUAUAUUUAUUAAGUAAAUUUAAAAUAAAAAGAUAAUUAUAUAUUAAAUUGACAAUGUAUUUUUUUAUUUCACAAGUCGCCUCAAAAACUUAGUAUGUGUUUUUUUUUAAAUAUUUAUUUUUAAAUUGUCAAGAGUCUAAAAUGUUUUUCCUUAUAUUAUUUCUAUUAUUUAUUUCUCUAUUUUUAAUUACAAUUGAUUAAGUUUCAAUAAUAUUUUAAUUUACUUCAUUUAUUGGCUCAAUUGAUAAAGGCGGAACCCCUUAGGUCUUGAGUAUCUACGUUCGAGACCUAUAUGUAUGGAUCUUGAAUAUACGGUUACCUGUGUUGGUUUAAUUUAAGUUGUUGAUUUUAGUUUGGAUUGUAUUGUAAUAGUUUGAAUUUGUACUACUUUAAUUUAAAUUAGGUACUUUAAAUUUAUAUUUAAUCCAAUAAUAUUUAAAUUUGAAAUGAAUUCACUAAAUUCUUUUUAUAUAAAAUUAAUUAAAAAUAUUAUUAAUUGUAUUAGAAUUAAAUAUUUUUACGUUUUUAAAAAAUUAAAACACACACAUAAGAAAUAAUAAACUUGUUCCAAUAAAGUAGUAGUUUUAUGGAGGACUCAUACCCCUAUAAAAUUACGAUUCUUGCCGUUUUGACUCUGAAAAGCUCUUGAUUAUCUCCGGUCUUUGGCUCUUCAUUCUCCAACGAGCUGUUAAUUUGCUUUGAAAAUAUCGUUUGAUUACAGAUUCUUCUCCUUAUGUUUUUGGAGGGUUCAGUUUUGGAGAUGAAUCCAGGGAGUCCGUUGAGAGUGAAAUACAGAGAGCAAAGGACUGUUACUAAGAAGCUAGUGAAGCCAUCGAGCGAGUGGUUUUGCAUGGAGUCCAAAGCUAAAGCCCCUAAAAUUGUGAGGAUUUGUGUCACCGAUGAGGAUGCCACCGAUUCUUCAAGCGACGAAUGCGAAGGGGAGACAUAUCACACAGUGAAAAGGCAUGUAAACGAAAUCAGGAUCCAAGAUUGUUCCACUGUUAACUUCACCAAACCAACGAACCACCAAAUAAUUAAUAAAAGUAACCAUGUGGAUAUCAGAUCAAAGAAGCAACAACAGCAGCAAUGUUUGUCUAUGGGUGUCAAAUAUCGUGGGGUUCGACAAAGGCCAUGGGGGAGAUGGGCGGCUGAGAUCAGAGACCCCACAAGUCGAACCAGAGUCUGGCUUGGCACGUAUGACACUGCUGAAGAAGCUGCCUUGGUGUACGACCGAGCUGCGAUUCAAAUCAAAGGCCCCGACGCUGUCACAAAUUUUGCACAACCUCCCCUGAGACCCGACAUUGAUCUGGACAUCAUCCCCGGGUAUGAUUGUGGUCAAGAAUCUCAGUCCCUCUGUUCACCUACAUUUGUUCUCAGAUUCCAGACCAAUGAAGAAGCUGAACUUCAAAUCCAAUCCAAAGAUGACUAUUUCGAGCACGGGUGGAAACUUGAGGAAGAUCUCCCAGGACAACCAACCAGCUUAUCAGAUGAGUAUUUAUUAACAGAUACUACAGUGGCUUUAUGUGAUUACUUCAACUCCGGUAACCCUGAGCCAAUAUUUUUCGAUGAAAUGAGAUUAGCAGAAGAGAAUAUUUCUGUAAAAUUAGAUAUUGAUUUUGGGGCUUGUACGUGGGAAGUUGAUGAUUACUAUUAAGACAUAGUAACUCUGGGUCCGGACACAACACUUCCCCGAAAAAAUGUGAAGUAAAUAUAUUUUAAGCUGAAGUCAGGGCUCCCAUGUUCGAGGGUUGGCCUUGGCAACCUUAUCACUUGUUAGCCAUCAACUCUUUUUCUGGGAUUUAAUUAGAAACAUAGAACCAUUCUUUUUUAAGCAAUUGCCUUCCAAUCUCACGUCGCAUGUACGUUCCCCUGUUUGGUUUUCCUUGUGUCAAGGUUUUAAAGCCUCGCAAUCAAAGGAGGCAUGAAUUUGAAGUUAGUGAAGACAGCAAGGGACACGUUUUGCUCCAAUACUAAGAGGCAUUCCAUUGUUAUUUCCUCCGAUGUUGACUUGGAUCGGUAAGGACAAUCGUUUAGAGGAACCCAACUCCACUUGACAAAGGUCGGUUUCCAGUCCUCGAAAAAAAUAAAUGAGGCCUCCACCCCAGAGCUUUCGAAUGGAUUGUGGAAGAGCCCUAUGUUAAAUUUUCAGACCACAGUGUCAUCAAAUAUUAACUCUAAAAGGUUACAAUUUAGAAAAUCGAAAUUAAUAAAAACAAUUGGUCUUGAAUAUUAAUAUUUCAAUUUUAGAAAAUCUUUGGAUUAACUUAGUAUUAUUAUUGUUAUGAUAAUUUUGAUGUCAUUAAUUUGAAUGUAUUUAUGUGUUUAGUAUUUUUUUUAAUUUAAUUAAUGCAUAGAAUGCAAGGAAUAUUUUGAUAUGAGAAAUUGCUAAAUAGGUUACAUGUACCUUCCUGCCCAACAAAAGACAGGAAAAUAUUAAUUAAAUACAAUUUUUUUAAUCAAUAUUAUAUUCUUCCUUUUCUCCUUGGACCCCAAGCUUCAUAUUUGUAGCAGGUUUUAUUCUUAUCAGAAUUUUCAACAGUAUCUGAGUCUUUAUUUUAUUCCAUGGUGUUUUCUUUUUCUUUGAUAUUGAAGACAAAUUUCGAUGCUUGAUUGCCAAGCAAAUUAUAAAUUAAAUACGUUGGCUUCAAAGUUCAUCAUUUGACUUUGUUUAGGAAUGUUUAAAAUCAGGUUAGUCGGAUAGGCUCCUAACCAUUGUAGAUAUUGUUUUAGGAUUUGGGUUAUCGGAAAACCUCGAGGAUUAACGGAUUGGGAGCACCUCAAUUGGUGAAAGAAAAUAUGCACAUGAAGGACUCCUAGACAAUUAAUUAUCUAUGUGUCCCUCAGUUACGUACUCUCUCCACCAAUUGAUGUGCUGCCAUUUUGUGAACCCUAGAGGUUUUCCUUAGAGGUUUUUUUUAACUUUUUAGGCGAAGGAGUCACAAAAAAAUUGCAAAAAAAAAAAACUAAAUUACAAAAUAUGUAAAUAUUGAAAGUUAAAGUUACUAUUAUAUUACUGUCUUAUGGUGACAAAAAAAGACAAAAUUGAUUAGUUAAGUGAUUAUUUUGUAACUUUUCAUAAUUGGAUGAUUAAAAAAGAAAUUUACUAAUAAUUGAUAACAAUCUUGUAACUUUUCAUAGUUGGGUAACAAAAAAAAAUCUACUAAUAGUUGAACGACUAUUAAUGGAGUUUUUAGACCCUAUAAAUAAGGCUAGAGGUUGACAAUGUUCUCUAAGUGAAAAUUUAAAAAAUAAAUAUUAAAAAAACAUAUGACAAAUUUUUAAAACUAUUUGUAAAAUAAAAAAUCUAUAUUACUCAUGUAUCAAAUACAAACCUAUAAAAAUAUCCCUCCAAAAAAAUAUUAGAGUAAGUGUGUGUCUAGAUUUCUUAGAAAUACAUGCAGUUACUCUCAAAAGCAUAGUAUUAGUUUUAACAAGUCUUUCUAAAUAAAAAAUUUAAAUUUAUGGCUGAGUCGACUCGCUCAUUAAUUCGAGAAUGAUUUUUGACAAUAAAAUCUAUACUUUCGAAUUUAAAAUCUAUUUUGUAGUGCUACAAGUAAUUUUCUCGAAUGGUUUCUCUUCAACAAGAUCCAUGCCGUUAAACUUAAGAUUUGGAUAAAUUUUAUAACUUUGAUGGGUGCGGUAGCCCAAAGAUCAAAUUAUAAAAUUUUAAGAGAAUUUUAUAAUUUUUUAAAAAUUUAAAAGGAUUUUAAAGUAAUUUAAUCAAAUUUAAGCCCUUAAAUUCACUCGUGGACAUGAGUAUAUAGGAUUAAUGAAUUUAUUUAUUGUAUACUGGACAAGUUUACUACACUAGAUUAUAGAUGCAAGGAUUGAUGGAGGGAAGUGAGGGUUGGAGAUGAGUGCAGAAGUGGUUUAUUGCUUUAAGAUGGUAUUAAUUUAAAUGAUUUUGGUUUAUUGAUUCUUAAAGCAUAUGGGUUGUUCCAUUUUCCUUAGCAUAGACACAAAGUCGUCGCUACCGUCGUGUUUCGUCAACUCUUAUAUAUCGAGUCUUUCAAGUACCUUUUUACUCUACGUUACACUUUCUUUUCUGAUAUGCAGUCGCUCGUAUAUAUAUAUAUAUAUAUAUACAUGCAUGCGUGUUUAGUUAAUAUAUACCACAUCUUGUUGUAUGCAAAAUGAUAGGCGUCCUUCACUGGCUUUGUUACUGUGAUUUGCUAUGGCUGCUUUCUCAUGCACUGUUUUAUCCAUAUUCCAGUCAGGCAGAGUCUAAGUUAAAAGUCAAUCUGCAACUUGCUUAGUUUUUUACUUUUCAUUUUGAUUGUAGCAAUUGAAUCCCAAGAAAUUUUCUCGGAAGUUUAGUUUAUACUUCAUUCAUCGACUUGUUUGGUACAUCUGUACUAGUUUCAAUACAUGAGAUAUGGUAAAAUGCAUGAGUGGAUAUACUAUUAUGAAUUGUUACGUCUAAACUAAUACUUCUCAUUAAAAAAAAAGGUAAAAAUCCCUCUUUGGUCCCUUUCAAUUUCAAUAUUGAGCAAAUUGGUCCCUCUAAAAUAAUUGGAGUAAUUUAAUCUCUGCCAAUUUCAAAGUGAGCAAUUAAGAACAGUUAAUCAUGGCACCGGUGUUCCCAGUCAAUUGUACUUAAUUUUGAUUGGUAUAAUAUCAAAUAUAACCCUUGAUGUUUAUAUAUUUUGUGUAAAUAUUGCGGGUUAAAUUUGUUACUUAGGACUAAUUUCUUAUAUAAAUGUUAUGAGCUAAAUUUGUUAAAUCAUGACCAAUCUUACGAAUGUGUAAGCUUUAAAGACUAAAUAUUAUUCCUAAAAAAUUCUCUUUUUUUUUCUUCAAGCCCUUUGCUUUUUAUUUUUAUUUUUGCUCAGCGGCGGUGCCAGCCUUUUUCCUCUCCCAUCAACUCUUUCUUUCUUCCUUCUUCUCAUCCACUACAUAUGUCUUCUCUCUUUUCAAUUUACAAAUCUAUUUUGUGGGCAUCUUUAUUGUCUUCACAACUUGUGAUAGAUAGAUAACGGUGUCUGUCGUUCGUUAAAAUUCCAUCGGCCACUAGUAGUUUUUCUUGGAAAGUGGGUGGCUCUUUGUCAAUUUCUUAAUAUGUUUCUGUUUGAGAGUAUUUUAGAAUAAUAAAUAAUUUCACGUGUCGAUUUGUACCAGUGUUGUCUUAAGUUUUAUAUGUUUUCUUUUCCAUUGUUUAAUAAGUCUUCAAUUUUAGAAGUUUUUGUCUGUUCUUGUAACACGUUUUUUUAGUUUUGUUUAUGCAUGUAAUCUUAGUUUUACAAGUGACUUUAGGGAUGAUAUUGUUGUUGUCCUCUCUAGUUUGGUGAAUGCUCGAUCCUUUUGUCUAUUUUUGCUCGUUGCUUUGUACCAUUCGAGGCUGAUUUCCUUAUCAUAUUAAGUGCUUGCAAUCACUCCAGAUGUAUCGUGCUUGAGUUGUGACAAAGUCAAGUGUCAACGUGUCAUAAUGUUUUAUUGAUGCUGAGGCUAAAGUCCUUGUUGUGUUGGCGGAGCUUGUCAUUCAUCAUCUACGAUGAGCGUUUGCUAUUUUUUUCUCUAAAUUAUAUAGUUCCCUUCAUUGAAUGAAUUAAUAAAUUUACUUUUUUUUAAAAAGACUAAAUAUUAUUAUUUGAUUAAAUUAUUUAGAUAUUUUUAAAAAUAUCAAUCGAGUUUAAAUGUUAUUAAGAUUAAAUUUGUUUAAAAUUUAAUUGGUAAAUUUAAAAAGCUUGACCUAUUAUCUAAAUUAAGUUUAUAAAGAUGUAGACGAAUGUGAAUUUAAAAUAUCAUAUUUCACAUUAAAAAAAAUAAAAAUCUGAUUUCAAAUUGAAUUAUAAUCUGAGAUAGUUUUAAUAAAAAUAGUAUAUAUUUUAAAAAAUUAAAAACGAUUUUUAAAAUGUCAACAUAGAGCUUAUUGGCAAAUAUUAUUUUAUUUCUUAAAAUAACGCAGCACUAAUAUUUAUUAGUCAAAAGCAUUAGCAAUAAUUUAAUAAUUUAUUAGUCAAAAGCAUUAUGCUGACGUGGCGAGUGGUAAGAUUUGCAAUGGAGCUGGUCCUUCCUCUCCCCUCCGGUGACGGAGAUCUUCACUCAGUGUGAGAGACACUAAUCUCACGAGCUGUGACCAUCAGUUAGCUAAACACCGAAUCAAAUAUCAUCAUUGAGGGUAGGUACCCAAUGCGAAUGUAGCGUGUGCCAGGCAUGGAUGACUUGAGCGUGAGAUAGAUUUUAGUUUUCCUGGGGACCAAGCUCAUUUAGAGGGAGCGGUAGGACACGUGUCAUUAAGGAGAAGAUGCGGCGAGUUGUUCCAAAUCUCUGUAGACACCGGAAUCUCUAGUUUUGUUACCAUCUUAUUCUCUAAUUCAUUUAUAAUUAUUAUUAAUUAUUUCACAAUUUAAUUAUUAUUAGUAUUAGUAAUUUUAGUUUUUUUUAAAUUAAAAAAGGGAAAAUAAACUUCUUCUAAUAAAGUAGUUUUAAUCAGGAUACUCCUAUAAAACAGCGAUUCUUGCCAUUUUGACUCUUCCUUGCAACUGAAACUCUCCUGUUUAUCUCUGGUCUUUCGCUCUUUACUCUCCAACAAGCUUUUAAUUUGCUUUGAAAAUAUCGUUUCUUUUACAUAUUCCUCUCUAUUUUUAAAAAACCCAUCUUUGAUGAUACAGUUUUGGAGAUGAAUCCAGCGAGUCCCUUCCCAGUGAAAUACACAGAGCACAGAACUGUUACUAACAAGCUAGUGAAGCCAUCCAGCAAGUGGUUUCCAAUGGAGUCCAAAGCCAAAGCCCCUAAAGUUGUCAGGGUUUGUAUCACCGAUGGAGACGCGACCGAUUCUUCAAGCGACGAAUGUGAUCGGGUGAGAUACCAGAGAGUGAAAAGGCAUGUGAACGAAAUCAGGAUCCAAGAUUGUUCCACUGCCAAUUUCUCCAAGCCACCCAACAAGCAAAACAGGCAAGUAAGUAAUAAAAGCAACCAUGUGAAUAUCCGAUCAAAGAAGCAGCAACAACAACAGCAACAAUGUUUGUCCAACGGUAUGAAGUAUCGCGGGGUUCGACAAAGGCCGUGGGGGAGAUGGGCGGCUGAGAUCAGAGACCCCACAAGUCGAACCAGGGUAUGGCUUGGGACUUAUGACACGGCAGAAGAAGCGGCCUUGGUGUACGACCGAGCCGCGAUUCGAAUCAAAGGCCCGGAUGCUCUCACAAAUUUUUCGAAACCUCCUGUGAGGCCUCCGCCGGAGAUUGAACUCGAAAUGAUUUCCGGGUAUGAUUCGGGUCAAGAAUCUCAGUCUCUCUGUUCACCUACAUCUGUUCUCAGGUUCCAGUCCAAUGAAGAAGCUGAACUUCAAACCGAAUCCAACGAUGACUCUUUAGACGACAUGGAAAGAGGGUGGAGACCUGUUGAAGAACUGGCAGGCGAACCAAGUAACUUAUCAGAUGAGUAUUUAUUAACAGAUCCGGGAGCUUUAUGUGAUUACUUCAAUUCUGAUAACCCUGUCCCUGAGCCAAUAUUUUUCGAUGAAAUGAGGUUACCAGAAGACAGCAAUUUGGAACUUGAUAUCUCUGUAAAAUUAGACGUUGAUUUUGGGUCUUCCACAUGGGAUGUAGAUAACUACUAUUAAUAUCAGUUUAAUAUCACUUCCCUGGAGUUGCUGCUUGUUCCCACUUCCCAUUUGCUGGUAAAUACUUUACCCUGCGUAAUUUACUUCAAUGUCAUGGUAAAUUUCCGAGUGGAAUUUUGGUCACAUAUUUUCCAGUUUUCUUUCAGUACUUUUUUACUACAGUGUGUUAACAAAUGCCAAGUUAAUAUGUAAAUUCUUGCUUCUUUUCCGUGUAUGGCUUUUCUUUUCUUUUGAAUUGAAUUGGUUCGGUGUGCGUUUCAUUUGGCGUGGUCAUUGUGUGUGCUUGAAAGUGUGCUUAGCGGUUAUGGCUUUCGUUCAAAAACGAGAGAGAGAGAAAAAAAAAGAUUAUGAUCUGAAUUUUUUUACUUUAGAUCUUUUUCUUGUCUGAGUAUUUUGAUGGGAGUCGGUGGGAUAUUUUAUUUUUUUGUUUUUAUUUUUGUCAUUUUAAUCUUGCAUUGUAAAAGGCUGCCAAGUUACGGGUAAAGUAGCCCCUUCCCAUGUUCGACGGUUCGCCACCUUAGCCACUUGUUAGCCAUAAAUUAUUUUCUGGGUUUUAAUUAGACCAUUCUUUUUAAGCAAGGACUUUCAACCUCAUGUCACAUGUUCCCUUGUUUGGUUUUCCUUGGGUCAAUGUUUUAAAAGCCUAGCAAUCAAAUAAGGAAAAAAUAUAAUGAAGAUGUUGGGAAUGUUACAACUUGAUACUCUAAAACAGUGCUUGUACUUCAAGUUCUCGUGCUCUCUACUUAACUGUCACGGUUAAAAUUAUUAUGCUACCAUAAAUGAUCUUUUAUGAAAUUAUUGAAGAGUGCAAGCGACACGUUUUGUUCCAUAUUAAGAGGCAUUUUGACUGUUAUUGUACCGUUUUACUCCCUUGUACAAAUGACCUCAAAUCGGUGACUUCGACAUAUCUUGAGAAGGGUUAUACGAAAAAUCUUAAGCUAAUUUUUUCAGGCGGCGUGCUUGAACCUUCGGCAGCCUGAGGGUAUCUUUUUUCCAAAACACCCAGUCAAAAGCUUUACUAAGAAAGGUGGUUCGUGAUCUAUAAUAUCACAGGCUUUUGGGAUAUAGCAGCAUAAGACGUUCUUGAAUCUUGAUCUGCAAUUCCUUUUCCUUCUGGUUUAAAUUAAAUGCAUUGUGACAAGGACAAACCACUUUUUCUAAAACUAGGCAAUUUUCUGGGGGGCAAUAACAAAAGCAUUUGAAAAUUGGUCAAACUCCUGAGGCACUCACGCAACGUUCCAUUAUAUGUAAUACCAAAUUAAGACAUAUUUUGGCAUUUGUAGGCUUCAUAUUUGUCAGGUAAGCUGAAUUAGGAGAACUAUUCCAAUCCAACUCCGUUUAUUGUGAUGCACAUGUUUUGAUUAUGAUCAUGACUGGAAAAGGGGUUGUGAACUGAAAACCCAAAAACCACACUGCAAAAUGAGGAGGAAACUUAUGACAUGACACUUUUAAUAUAAGACACAUAGUAAAGCAAAUAAUUAUGAAUUCUCACAUCACUUCCACAUGCAAAGGUUGUUGGGUUUUAUCCAGUGAUUCGUCACUAUUUUGGAAUUGUUUCAAAAAUCAAAGUAUGGCCAAUACCUUCUAUUGCCGCGGAAUUAGAGCACAUUAGCGGUUAACGUUUAAGCAUACUUUAUUAUGUAAAGUUGAAGUACUAAUUAUCAUGUUUUGGAUUGCAAAGCCAAACGAGCCAAGGAAGCCGAAUCCAUAUAUUAAUAAAUUGCAAAUAAUAAGGAAGCAGAAAAAAAAAAAAAACCCAAAAGAAAAAGGGUUUGGUCAUUGGUCUUAUAGGCUACAACAAGUUGUAGCUUUUUGUCGGCUUCAGCUGACCUACCUCUGAUAUUGUCUGUCUAUGUUUCAUGCGACGACCCGUAGCAUAGCACAAGCAGUCGUCAGAAUUCAAUCCGGCAAUAACUAAUAAUAAAGAGAUCAGUGAGAAAACUGUACUAUGGUGGAGCCAAUGCAGGUAACAUAUAGCUGCAUGCAAUGAUUCAAAUCCAAGGCAAAGCUAUAGUUUGGAUCCAGCUUCUUGAUCACCCCUGUUAAAUAUGCUCUGACAGUCUGACUUAUCCUCAAUCUUUAACUUAUAAAUAUGUAUAAUUGGUCUUUUAUUUACAACUUAAAAUGGGUUCGGUGCAAUAAAUUCAGACUUGCUGUUUAAAUAUAUGGUCUUCAUGCAACGUACGACGACGCAGUUUUGAGAGGCACUGUCUUUGCAUUCAAAAGAAAACAAACAGCUCUCGAAAAAGUAAAAAAGGAAAAAGAUGGGAUGGGAACGUAAAGUGACAAAAAUAAAAGAAAAGAAGAAAUUGUAGUAUAUCGAAAUUAAAACUUGGAGGGAGAGAGAGACCGAACUGAAUGCCUUUUUUGACUCGGAUGAUCACGUGAACGGCACGUGGUGUCAGCCAUUUCAGUCUCAAGCUUACUGGGCUUAAGCCCACCUGAACAUUUGCUGUAAUUUAAGGGUACAGUGUUGUUUAGGAAAACAGGAUGGCCCACAAAAUCUCUGUUGCAUCACAUGAGGAGGAAGAAAAAAAAGAAUGCAGUGAGAUCAAAGGAAAUCUAGUCUGAUAUUAUACCUCGUAAAAAGUGGAGGUCGGGUUAAAUCUCAUCCACUCAUCACGUUGAAAGUUGAAUCCAAACAAGUAGGACCCAUUUCAUCUACUGUUUUCAUUUUUUCAAUAUCAAAUUAGAGCCUUUUUAGCGGAAAGGAACUACCAUUGGGUCCUGGAUUUAUUUUCCCAUACGAUUAAUUAUUAGGAAAUUUGAUUGGGAAAAUUUAGGGUUAAGGGAACUCAAGUGUAUUGAUAAGCUCUUGAUCUUGAGCCCAUGUUAUGGUUGUGCAUUGUGGCCACAUUGCAUUCAAUUUUCCCCGUCUUCCAGGUACUACUCUUACCUCAUUAUUUUCCUCUUUAAAUGAUAGUUGCUUUCCGCUAAUUUUGAUGGCUGACCAAUGAAAUCACAUAUUUUGGUCCAAUGUCGAAAAAAGUAAAUGAGAAGAAAGAGUCAAGUGUAAAUUGGAUAUGGGAUUUCAAAAUCUAAGCUGUAACGGGUUUUUAGAUCUGUUGAUUGUGGAUGAUGUGCUUUAGGGCCAGUUGAAUAGUGAAACUGAUGAUUAUCAUAUAAAGGCGGCUCCUCCACAGUGAUUGCAUGCCCUUUUACGUCUACAAAGAGCCAAAUUACUCGAUGAUUCAUUUUUGUUAAUUUUUAAGUUAGACUUCCAACAAAUAUUUGGACGGGAUUCAGACAUUUUAAUGUUGAAAUGUCUUUAUAGAGUUUGAAGAUAUAUCUCUUAGUUUCAAAACACACUUUGAAUCACUUGAUUUCGAGUUUAGGAGCUCAAGUUAUGAUCGUUUUAGUGAAGACUGCGCGAGUAAAAUUUCUGAAUGAGAUUAUUAUGAAAAUUAUAUUUCGAGGCUUUAAUUUGAGUUUAAAUUAUAUUGGGUUCGAUUUUUAGUUUUAAUUUUUACUAUAUAUUAGCCAAAUAUUGUAUUUAUUAUUUAUUUAUUUCGAAUUUUAGAUUUUUUAAAUAUUUUAAAUUAUUUAGGAAUUUUAUGUUUGCAAUCAAGAAAAAAGUUUAGUUUAAAUCUACUUAUUGUUUAGAUUAAUUAGAAUUUGUAUACUUCAGAGUUUUAUUUGGAUCAAUUGAUACACAAUUGGUUAAUUUUUUUGAGAAAUAUUUAUUUUUUAUAAUUUUUAGAAAUAGAUUUCUUCUCAUUUUUCUUUAAGGAGUUAUGAGAAUUCAUUCUUCAUCCUCCAUAUCCAUCGCGAUAUUUGAUCCAUCUUCCACAUUUAAUUUUUAUUUAUUUAUUAUUUUGAAUAUUUACUCUUUGAUUCUUAUUUUUGUUUUUAUUAUUUUUUAAAUUUAUUCUAUGUUUGUUUUUAGGUCAAAUCUAAGUCAUUCAUUUUUGAAUAAAAAUUUUGAAUAGGAUAUUGGUGUGCUGUUUCUUAUCUGUCUAAAUCAACAAUAGAGUUUCAUGGUUUUCCUAUUUUGUGGUAGAUGAGACGACCCAGUGAAACAUGUCUGAGGAUUAGUAGUAGCCCAUUAGACCCUGGCCCAUGAUCAUCAUGUGUCUACUUAAAGAACCACCAAGGGGGCCGGCCUUGACUUUUUGAACCCCACAAAUUAAGUUGCUACAACUGAUGUGUAUGACGGGACCUUGUGAUGGAUGGUUAAUAACAUCUUGUAUAAUGAGUGAUGAUGGCAUGCUAUUUCGUGCAAUGGAAUGUUAUUAUUGCUCAUAUACAUGGUCCAUUGGGGGAUUCUGGAUCCAUGAGAGGGUUGAUUUGAUGAGAUUGAGCAGCAUAAUGAUGCUAAUAUAUGAAAUGAAAAGGAGGGCAUAUAUACAUGAUUGCAUGUGAUUGCGAUGAGAGUGGGGGACUGUGGCGGUACAAACUGCUAAGCUUCUUACUAGUUCCAAACAAAACUUUCCCUUUAAACAAUAAACGGUACCCAAUAGAAAAAGCAAAAUAAAAUAAUUAGCAAUCAAAAAUGAUUUUGUCCAAACACCUGAUGGCAAAAACCAUUAUAAAGUAGAGCCUCACUAAAGCCCUACCCUUCCAUUCUUUAAUAUUCCAUAUUGUUCCUCAAGCUUUCCACCACAGCCAAGAGAUAAAAAACGCUGGAGCCGAAAAAUGUUAAAAUAAUUGAUAGUAACUUGUUAAAAGAAAAGAUAAAGCCAUGCAUGGAGUUUAAAAGUAGUAAUACAGUAGUAUUUUGAUGUGUGGGCUAUGUUUUCCAUCGAUGGAGUGGAAUGAAAACAAACUGCAAACUCUCAUGGAACGAUAAAAUCAAAAACAGUAUCAGCUUCUGCAUGAAUUGUUGAGAACAAUAUGGCCGUCAUAGUGACAUUUGAGGAGAGGGAGCCACCAGAGAGUAAUUGAUGAGAGCUUGCUUUUGCAUUUGUAGGUAAAUCAAUGUCGCCACUUCUAUUAGCUAUUAUUCAGUCUUGGAAAAUCCUGGGAAACUGCAAGUUUUCCACAAAUACAGUAUCAGAUAUGCCAUUUACCAUAGGUUGAAAUGCUGAAUCGUCAUCGUAGUAGUCACCUAAUCCUUUAAUCUCUUAUAUAUAUAUAUUAUUAUAAUAUGGUUCUCAAUCUUUGGUUGGUUCCUGUAAUCCAAAGAUGAUAAACAAAUCAGAUUACAUGUUUCAAAGGCUCUCAUUUUUGGCCUAUGUUCUUAGUGGACUGAACUAAUAUAUAUUUAUGCUAAGAAUAACAAAUGACUCCCAAGUUAUUUAUUCAUUGUUAUCUUUUUAAUGGAUGAUUAGAAAUAGAACAUUAGAGGUAUUAUAGGUUUUGGCCUUAAUUUGGUCUGCGUAUGUCGUUUAACCCAUGCAGACCAAACUGAGGGUUGUACUAAGCAUGGCAUUGAAAUGGAUGAGGAAGAAAGUGUGAAGAAAAUUGAAGGAGUUUCCAGGUUUCUCGUUUCAAGCACUAGAAUUUUUUAUUCAACCACUUGAAAUGGCACAAUGCUGUUGGAAAUUAUGCAGUAAAAUUAUUUAUGAUUUUAUCAUGUAAUUCACCAAGAAAUUCAGUUACGUAUUCAAAAGAUGCCUUUGCAUGUCAUUUUUCGCUGGUGAUGACUCUUAUUAAUUUUUUAUCAUACAUACGUACAUACAUAUUCAACACAUGCAAUAUCAUGGAAAUACUUGUUUGAUGGGAUUGCAAAUCAAACUCGGCUGUAUUUAUACUGCAAACUGAAGUAGCUCAACCUCCUUUCUCGAUACAUGCAUAGAAUCAUAAUCAAUAUUCAGCUAAUUUAUGUGACUAUGAACUUUUCAUUGUUUCAAUAUCAGACUUUUCUUCAAAUUUGGUUAUAUAUUAUGAUUUUUUAAUGUAUGCUGUCCAUUAUUUACGCUAAAUAAAAAUCAUCAAUUGUAAGGUGCAUUGUAUUUGUAAGGAGAUAAGUCAAGUUCGAGAAUUAAAAACAAAAUUAUUGAAAAGAAUAUUAAACUUCGAAAAAAAAUUAAUCAAACAUGAAGAAUACUUUAAUUCUACCAAAAUAAAAUAAAAAUCAUACAGUAUACAGUAAUCCAGACUUCUAUGGGGCUUAAUUUGAUAAUUAGCCCAAUCUUAGAAAUCUUUCGAUAAAGAAAAAUCCGAGAGUUUAAUAGGGCUGAAGCAGCAGCUCUAUAUUGGGCCAACGAGAGUUUUGGGUUUCCUGAAAGGAAAAAGGAAAGUGGAAGGACCGAUUGGCCUUUGCCUAUGCAACGCUGAGUCGCUUGGCGCCCUUAAUUCCACGCCACGAAUCACAUUGCCUCGCCUCCUCUUCAGUUUUCCCUUCCGCAUGCAGAAAUCUGCCUCUUUCUGUUAUUAUAAUAAUACUAAUAAAAGAAGGAAAGCCCUGGAAGAAACUUUUGUAACUAGCUAAUCUAAAAUCUUCCAAUAAUUUGUUCAACUUGAACUUCUCGGUCCUCACUCUUCAUUUGACGUUUCUCUUUAUUUCUUUCGAUGAAAAUUUGAUUGGCUGCAAGAACGAGAGAGAGAUGGUAAGCUCGAGGCAGGGGUUUCCUUCAUGGAUAAGCGCUGCCUCCGGCACCAGAAUUGAUUUUGAAGGAAACGCUGAUAACAUGUUGAAAACUGCCCACGACGAUUCUACAACCCAAAAGCCUAAAGCUGUAGCCGACGUCAAUUUGAGCUUCGAAGAGAGGGCUUUCUCUGCCGCCGGUGCCGCUUUUAUUUCCGCCAUCAUCGUUAAUCCUCUCGAUGUCGCCAAGGUAUCUAAUUUUCCUUUCUUCUAAAUAAUUAGCCUUUUUUGUUUUUUCAACGUAAAAAAGAAACCCAAUUCCUAGAAUUAAUCAAAAUUCUCUCAGAAGAUGUGUUCAAAAUCGUAAAAUGAUUUGUUUUUUGAUCCAGACAAGGUUGCAAGCACAGGCUGCUGGAGUUCCUUACAAGACUUGCUUUGAAACAAAUACGGUACUUAUCAAUUUCAUUAGUUUCCUUGUUUUCAGCAUCUCAAUUUACUCCCUUGGUGAAUAUUUUGGUGUUUUCCUCCGUUGCUCUUCCUUUUUAGAUGUUCCCAGAUAUGAGAAGCUCUCAAUCAUGUUCGCGUUUGGUUGUUGGCUCUGAACCACUAUGUCCCCCUGAGUGUCAUAGGUACACUGGAACACUUGAUGUUUUCUACAAAGUCAUUCGUCAGGUUGGUUGUUUUCUGCACUUGCUAAUUACUAUCUUAGGCUUGUUCUUCAAGUGCUUGAUGCUGUAAUGGCACUUCUGUUUAAUAAAUAAGUUCUUUUCUUUCUUUUCUUUUUUUGUUAAAUAAAUGGGAUGUUGUAUUUCUUCGGUACACACAGGUAAAAGAAUCUCGGUGAAACACAGCUGAUGGCUAACUUAGUGGUAGAUGUUUUACACUUUUGUGAAAGCAAUUUUUAAUCCAUCUAAGCAUAAUCAUCCAAACAUUCAUUAUAUAUGCAUUAUAAUCUCUUUAUAUAUAUACAUUUGUAUUAUCACCUUCAUAUUUCGAUGCACAGAUUAUUGCUUAUUUUUGGAGGUUCACGGGAGUGAAUUUUUGCAGGAAGGUUUUGCCAGACUGUGGAGAGGAACAAAUGCAAGUUUAGCAUUGGCUGUGCCGACUGUAAGUCUUUCAUUUUAAUGGCUUCCCUCCAGGCCUCCAUUGCAUGUUUUUAUCCCUUGCAUUAGUGCGAGGAAGCAUUUUUAUGUGCUUAUAUUUUUUUGGCUCCUCGUGGGCUCUGUUCUUUUCUUGUCAUUCAGGUUGGCAUUUACAUGCCCUGCUAUGACAUUUUCCGCGAUUCAAUGGAGGAAUUCACAACUAAUAAUGCUCCAACUUUGACCCCAUAUGUCCCAUUGGUAGCAGGCGUAUUUGCACGUUCUUUAGCUUGCAUAUCUUGUUAUCCUAUUGAACUGGCCAGGACCCGCAUGCAGGUAUAAAAUCAUCUGUGCUUCAUCUAAUAUAACCAGGAAUUACUAUAAUAAUCCUCAAUUUGCUAUUCUGCAGAAAUGAAUGAAGUUCAACUUUAUGAAUAUUUAAUUUAUUACCAGGCAUUUAAAGAAACUAAAAGCGGUAUCAAGCCUGCAGGCGUAUGGAAGACAUUAGUUGGAGUAAUCAACCCAGUGACAAGCACAAAUUGCAUUCAAAACUGUAAGUUAACUAUUGGAGUGAGUUACUCUCUGCCUGAAAAAGUAUAAUUUUGGCAUUGAAUGAGAAAUUUUAUCUCAAUUGAGAAAGUUUGAUUAAACUAAGCAAGAUGUUCAUUAUUGCUGACAUAUUCUUCAUAACAGUACAAAACUACCGCAUCCUAUGGACUGGCCUUAGUUCACAACUUGCUCGUGAUGUUCCUUUCUCUGCAAUCUGUUGGGCAACACUUGAGCCGGUGAGAUAAAGCUAAGUGUCCCCCCCUCCUCCCCCCAAAAAAAAUGUUUAAUGCUACCUUAUGCAUUCAACAUAAUUCUUGUUUCUUUCGACCUUUUCAGAUCAGGAGAGAACUGCUUGUGUCAAUGGGUGAUGAAGCUGGUGCAGGUAGCAUCCUUGGGGCAAACUUUGCUGCUGGUUUUGUGGCAGGAAGCAUCGCAGCAGCUGUUACCUGUCCCCUAGAUGUUGCAAAGACCCGACGGCAGAUAGAGGUCUUUAGUUUCUUCAUAUGAAUUUCAUUUCGGUUUAGAUAGGAUGAAAGCAGGAACCCACACACACAGUCACACACACAAACACGGUAAAGUGAUCUAACUGAUUAUCCAAGGAUUAUAUUCAGAGCAUCACUUGCUCUACACAUAUGUGACCAUAGGAGAGCAACUAUUUCUGAGGAAAAGAUUUAACUAGUUUUUUUAUUCAGAUAUAUGCUAUGGAUUGGUGCAUUUCGUUCUGAAACUUUCUUUCAUGAUUUUCAGAAAGAUCCUGUCAAGUCAUUAAAGAUGACUACAAGACAAACUCUACGUGAAAUUUGGAGGUACGCAAUAUUCCUUUUCCUUGAGAUAAUAUUGCAUCUUUGUUCUAGUUGCAGUCAAGUGCAUAGUAGCAGAUCUUCUAGUAAAUGACUAAAUGAAUGCAUCUCUUAUGUCCUAACUAGAACAACAUAGUUUUAAACACUCCAAUGGGGUAACACAAAGGACAAGGAGCAGCAAUAGGAGGCGAAUGCUGACUUUUAUUUUAUAGCAGAAGUGUGUGUGCUUGAGGCCAAUUUUAGGAAAUACAAUUGCUCUAUCUUGUAGUCAAGCUGCCUAAUAUAUUAGGUUAGCUCAUUCAAGGUUAUAUGCGUAUUCACUUUAAUCUUUUAUUUUAUAGCAGAAGUGUGUGUGCUUGAGGCCAAUUUUAGGAAAUACAAUUGCUCUAUCUUGUAGUCAAGCUGCCUAAUAUAUUAGGUUAGCUCAUUCAAGGUUAUAUGCGUAUUCACUUUAAUUAGCUUACUGUACCAAGCUGUUAUUUGGUGCAGGGAUGGAGGGAUGAAGGGACUGUUUGCUGGACUUGGUCCUCGUGUUGGUCGCACUGGUCCGUCUGUGGGGAUUGUUGUUUCAUUUUAUGAAGUUGUCAAGUUCGCUUUACAUUACAGACACGAAGAUCAUGAGUGAAAGACUUGGAUUUGUGCCACAACUAUGGUUGAUUUAAUGAUUCAAGUAUAGUCACCCGACUCAAUGAUGUAAAUAAAAGAAUUAACACACUUCUGGUCCCCCAUAAAAAAUUCCAUCAUGUCGCUUCAAACCACUUUGGCAAAGCUUUUUUCAGUGGAUACCCAUGCUCAUGACUCAAAUGAUUCCAGGAUCUGGAAAUUCCAGGCUGUAUAUUUCCUAUUCUUUUUUUCUUUUUUCACAUAAUGCAAGCCUAAUGUUGCAAGUUGAAACAGAAUUACAGAAACCCUUUUUCUUUUUUUCUGUUAAGAAUAUAUUUGGAAUAAAGUUUGUUUUGAUGGUUUGUUUCAAGUACUUGAAUAGAUAGAAAGCGCAAAAUGUGCUCAAAACCUGCCCCAUUGUUUGAGAUUGGAGAGAAACAUUAGUACUCAUUUGCAGUUCUUUUUACUUUUUAGUUAUCCUCCUUUAGAAAGAAGGAAGCUAAAAGAUUAGCAGGGACGAAAGGAGGAUUCCAAAUGUUAUUGAAAGCAAAAGAAUCAAGUAGUGGAGGCAACACAGUAGGCUAUCAUUUCAGGAAUCACAUUAAUCAAUCAAUCUCUCAAAACCAAUGCAAACCAUUAACCACUACAUCCAUCACCCAAAAAGAAAGGGAAAAAAAAAGGAACUUGAUAGAUUUAGAUAGAUUUAUCCACAUAGUACUCUGUUACCAAAAUGAAUAAUAUAAUUUAAAAGAAGGUGUAGGAGGACGCGUCUAGAGGGUGGAUAAGGUAUGUAAGCACCAGUGCCACAAGCAUCAGAACGUAAGCAAUCCCUUGGUCAAUUGAAGUUCCUGCCCAAAAUCAAAUGGAUAUAAGUAAUUAAUUAUUUAAUGCAUUUGAUUUUGGGGGAAAAAGCCCACUGUAUUUAUUUUAACUGUGAGAAAAACAAUGCCUUUAAGAAAAAAUGAGAACCGUUUCAGAGUGAAAAGAAAAGAAAAAAAAAGAGAGAGUAGAUUUUGGCAAUGCCUGAAUAGUGUUAUAAGGAAGGCAGUAUUGAAAAGAUCUAAAGGUCCAAAAACAGCAUGUUAAAGAUAUGGAUUAGUUACCAUCACUUGUAGGAGAAGGAGCUGGUGCAGCAGACUGAGCUUCAACAUUGGGUGAGACAAUAGCAAAAACAAGAGCAAAGAUGGUCACAACUCUCAUAAGAACCCUGAAAGAAAUGACUGCCAUGUUUGCGCAGAAACCCUUUCUAAAAUUAUCAGCAGGGAGCAAUAUGAGAGAGAGCGCUGAAGAAAAACACAAAGUUGAAAACCCCAAGGACUAAUGCAGAAGAGAGAAAACUUGGGUUUAAAUAAAGAGGUUGAGAUUGUAUUAUAGGGAGUUAAAAAUGAGUUUGUAUUUUAAUUUUGUAAUUUGUAAGCAGUAAAAAUGGGGGGAAAUGAGACUUGGGGGAGUGUGGGUGUGGGUCAAGCCUUUUUUUCUGUAUUGUUGUUGAGACAGACUGUUCAUGGGUUGUUGCUUAGUUGUUGUUUUCUCCUUUCAUACCAAACUCUUGUUUUCUUAACGUUAUUCUCGAUAUUGGAUUAAACCGCUAUUAGUUCCUUUACUAGGUUGACAAUUAAGUGUUGCUGCUAUCAUUUCAAUUAAUAAUAUUCUUUUAUCCAAAAUUAAUUUGAAUUUAAAUUCAAACAAGAAUAUACUUUCCCCAUUUUAAAUUAGAUUGCUAAAUGCAAAUUCGGUGGUUAUUUAGUAGAUAUAUUUCAUAUGAAUUUAACAUCAACUUCUUAUUUCAGUUUAGAUUUACAACUUAGGAUGAGAGAUACCUGCGCUUCACCCAUAACUAUAAUUUGUUUUGGAUUUGGAUACUAUGUGUAAUUGCACCCAUGUAAUACAUUUGAGUAAUUAUGGUAAUUAAUUAAUCUCUUGAGUGUAAUUCAAAUAUAUAUAGGUAGUCAUGAUUAUAUUCGAAUUUUUAUUUUUAUUUAAAUUUAGAUGUAUUUACAUUCUGCCUUCAAAAAAAUUCUUUGUAGUUACAAACAUAUAAUUACUAUAUUAAUAAUUACACUUACCAUUACUCAUAUCCAAGCACACCCCUUAAAAAUAAAUCAAUUAAUUUCGCAUAAUGUAAUGAAAUUUCAUCUCAAUUAGACUAGGAGAAGUUCAAGUACGAUAGGAUAUAUUCUUUAAUAAUAACGUUUUUUUGGCCGAACCUUAAUCAGUAAUUUUUGUGUUCGUUUAAUUUUAACUUCAAAUAUAUUUUAAACUUACUAUAAUUCAACCCUAAACGAGGUUAGAUGUCAAUCGCCAUUUGCAGAUACAACUUGCAGCCUCUCUUAUUCGGUCUUUGUUUUCUUGUUCUGGGCCACUGUCGCCUGACCAUCAUUAUCAACUUUGCUGUCAAUUGGUCAAAUAGACUGCAGACUGAGUGAUUGUUGACUCCCAUUCAAUUAACAACCCUUUCAACAUUUGUCUAUCAAAGGUUUCUAUAUCAACAGUUAAUUCCAGGAACUGAAUGAGAUAAGCGAUGCCGAUAAUCUAAAUUAACAUAGUCUAGAGUUUCACAUCAGCUCCCAUCCAGCCCAAGCAUCCAAAUGAUAUAAUUUAAUGAUUGAUGCAUGGUUUUUUCAACUUUGAAAUGAAAAAGAAAUUCGAAUAGUCUUUUAAGUUUUAACGAAUAUAAAGAACACGGAGCUGCAAGUAGAACACAAAAACUAACCACCCUAUGGCCUCGGAUACCCUCCAGCUGCCAACGUUAUUUGGCAGUAGCCGUCGCUACAGAAGUUCUGCAUGAUAUUAUUAUUUUAUACAUGUAUAGUUGUAUUUAUCCUACUGGUUAUUACUUUGAGAAAUUCAAAUGAACAAUUAAAAAUUGCAGCAUAGGCGAGAAAAAACGUCAUUCAAAUUAUGUACGGUACGGGAUGGGACCAGACCAUGAUAUAAGCAUAUAUUCACACAAAUGAUAUGACAGCACAUGCUAUGUCGAUCCCGUGCCGAUGAUACCUUUUGUUUUGAAUUAGAAUGAUAUUCCCACUCAAACCAUUUUAAAUGGUUACCAAUUCUAAUCCUUUUAGCUCCACUCCAAAAACAGAUCUGUUAGGAUAAAACUUUUAACUACCACGGCACACAACACCUAACAAAUCCUACGCAAAAAUAUACAUCCAACUCAAACCAGGCGCAGGUCUUUCUCAAGAAGUAUCAGUGAGAUCCUAAAAUCAAACUCAAAACAAUUACCCAAUUACAAGCCAUGAUGCUAUCAUCCUAAAAUCAACUUUUCUUCUGUUAAAUACACAAAACCGGAUACACAAGGAUAUUAAAAAGAAAAACUAAAAUUGCAUUCCACUCCCCAAAAUGGUCCUAAUAUUUAUGCGGUAUCCUGUAAGAAACAAAUUCCAAUUCAAACCAAGUGACCCUCAUAAUUGUAGUAAAAAAAUUAACAAAAUUGCACGGGAGAGUGCACACACAUAAGGUAGUAACAGACGCAUGAAGAAACUAAUGCAUAUAAGGACAUUAAUGGCCUUACCAAAAGACAAUGUAUAUGUCAGAUGCCAAGGGAAAAAACCAAAUUAAUAAGAAAAAGAAAAAGCGCUAUUUUCUUCAAUUUUCAUUUCAGAACCACAUCAAAACCUAAGGCAAUGACUGAAAAUGACUGCAGAUUCUAAAUCAACUUUAGUGUCUCAAUUCCACCACAAGAGUUGAAUAACUUAAUAGUAGUACUUUUGCAAAAAAUGAAACCACCUACAGUUCCUUACCUGAGAAGAACUCGCAAUUGAGCCUUAUUCUGUUCACACAGCCAAUUUCGGAUCCAGUGUUCCUGAGGCAUUUCCUUCUCCAGUUAAAUUGUCAGGAUCCUGCAUAUAACAUUAUUAUCAAUUAAAGCCAAGAGGUUCUCAAAAUUGGAGAAGUUGGGGCCAGCUAGGCAUUUACCUCCAUUCCCCAUUUGAUAUAAUCUGGUGACUCACAAGCCUUGUAUUCGUCAACCAAACUUUCAAUUAUGUCCCUUGAUUCAUCAAACUCAGAAAGGUCAUUGUCCUGUUAAUGUUGAAUGAGAUUAGGAUAAAAAUACCAAUGUGAUGUGCACUUUUUAGGUACCCAAUCGAAAAAUAUUAUAUGAUUUGGAAGCAAAUGACAUGUAGCAGAAUUAACAAACAAAUCACACUGAUGAUUUCAGUCAUGGAUUUGAAUCUCUUAACCGAUCUAAAGAAGUAACAUGCCCUUAGGACAGGCUUACAAAUAUGUGUGGUUGCAUAUAAAUACAUGUUACAACUUCCAUCUAUUCGCAUAAAACUCAUGCACGCAGAUCUUUGCAAUUCAUAUGAACACACAAAAAGCAUAGUGACAGCAAUCGUAAAUUAGAAAGUGGGCAGAAAGCUGGUAACUCACAGCAAACAUUGGGAACUUCCGAUAAUUGUCAAGAAAUGCUUGCUUCUUUCUCAACUUCUCAUACUGGCUCAAACAUUUGCUGAAGAGGUGUCGGAUACUGGUAUGACUUGCUAGCAUAAGACCACUCACCUGAAGAAUGCAAUAUGCCCUUGUUUAUUUUUUCUCCAGCAAAAGGGUCCCUUUUAAGGAGAGCAAAAUCAUGCUCAAAGUUGUUACCCUUGUUUAUUCAGAUUAAAUAUUGUGAAUUGUUCUAUAAUGCAGGCAAAAUAAGAGAUCUAAAGUCCAAAAGACAAGAACUAGAGUUGUACCCUAUGGGCAGUCUGGACAUAUGGGGACUUUCUAGAAAGAGCAACCUACAAAAACGCAAAAAGAACAAAAAGAGAUGAUGUAAGUCCAGGUAUCAUAAGAAAAAAUAAUUACCCAAAGUGAGGACAACUGCUUCAACUAUCAAGAGACCUGAAUACUUGCAGGGCCCCAUUCAAUAAAAUUUACUAGCUUUCUUUCACGAAUCCUCUGUAGACUUUCAUGCACCUGAUAAAACAGGGGAAAUUAUUCAGCAAACAUUAAAAGCUCAAACCAGUAAGAAUAGACAAUACAAAAACCAUUCCAUGAAAUUAUUUAAGUUGAUUUUCAAACACACAUAACCAUUAACAACUAACAAGCAAUCGAGUUAAGUUACUCUUCCAUUCAAUAAAUACUAACAAAGUGUACAUUAGUAAUAUAGUUGAUCUCACAUAGUUGGAUUAGGCUUUGUUAAACUUUCAAAUGAUUUCAAAUUGCAACACGCCAAAUACUUUCUUCUCUUUCAAGGGAGAAAAUAUAUAGUUACUAGCCACAAGAAAUCAAGGUUGGAUUUCUCUGAAAUGCGCCCUUUUCUCACGGUUUAAACUAGAAUAUUUUAAGUUGACGUGUGCCUAGGAGCAUCAUUGCAACCAUCUUAUCAAUAUCAAUGCUCUAAAUUUUCAAGGGGAGAGAAGCACUGGCUAUGACCACAAAACUCAAACUAUCUUCUGUGAAGAAAAUUAACACAAUAAGUCUAAAGAAAAGAGACGUUUCUGAAAAGAGAAAGGAUAAAACAGAGGUAGAGAAAAAAAAGGACAUGAGAAUCUAUCAAAUGUCCAAUAUCAUUUUAAAGAAAAGAUAAAGCAAACCGUUGUAAACUUUUGGACAACAGUCAACAGAAGGAAGAAUAAGAUGUUCAAUACCCUAGACAAUAUAUAUAUUUGCAUGCAUUCACAUGCAAAAUCUUAGACCAAUUACCACCCUUAAGAUAGAAAUAACUAAAACCGCUAAAGAAUGCACAUGUUGUUCUACUGGCCAAAGUCAACAAAAAGGUAAUCAACGACUUGCCCAAGAAUAAAGAAUGAUGCAUAUAAUUUUCUUAUCCAUAAUAUAAAUGUGAGACUUUGGAGAUACAUUUCCUGUAAAAGCUAUAGCAUUUCCAAAAAAAAAAAAGUUCAACAUACCUGAGUAGGAUCUACUUCCCCUUGAAUGAUAUUCAGUAUGGAAAUAUACUUUGCUUGGCUAGCUUCUUUUGUGCGUGCAUAAGAGGAAACCAUAAUAUUUUUUGUCUGCCAGGAAGCAUAGGGUUAGAAAAAUGCAACCCAUUUUGAAAUAAGUACAACCUACAUAUCUCACCUGGAGAAGUCUUCUCAUAACAUCAAGGACAGUAGUUUUGCGAAUCACAUUGGCCUGCCAGGAAGAGAAACACAGGCAUCACACUACACCAAAAAGAUCUUUCCAUGAAUAACAAGACUAAAAACAAUAAUUUAGGACUGAUGAGACAUACUGAGAUGAUCGAUUUAAUAAAAAUAAAAUAUAUGGAAUUUUAAAGCUUCAGAUCCAUUUUUCACCCCAACCUCUUUUUUACCCCCAAUUAUGAAAUGAGUAAGUGAAUCGAUUAUAGACAAAUUGUGUAAAGGCUCUACUUAACUCUAAAAAUCACACAAGGAGCAAUUGAUCAGGAACCACAAUCAACUACAAAGUCAUAAAUAUAAAAAACAAGUAUUUGAAGUACCUGGCGCUCCACUGUAAGUGGUGUGUAACCUGUCAUAAGAAAAUGACAUCUUGGGGUUGGAAUUAAAGAGGCAAGAAGACCAACCAAAUCGUUGUUCAUAUACCCUGGAUACCGCAAUGUAGUUGUGCUUGCAGACAUCACAGUGGAAACCAAAGAAUUUGUUUGAGCAAACGUAGGAUUACUUAGAUGUAAACGUUCUACAGCAAUUCUAUUGAGUGCAGUAUUGUCAAGAACAACAACACAAUCAGCAUUUAACGUUAGUCGUUUGAGUGUCAAAAGUGAGUUGUACGGCUGGACCACCACAUCGCUUGUCUCCAUCUGGUUAGGAAAUACACUAUAAGUCUGAACCAGCUUCUUGCUGUAGCGGUCAUUCAGAGCCUCCAACAGAUAGGAACCCAUACCUUCAUUGUAGAUGAAAGCAAUCAAGUUGUAACCAAAACAAAGUCUUCAAGAAAAUUUCAGUACCUUAGUGGAAGACACUACUACUGCUGGGAUCCUAAUUUUUGCAACCAAAAGAAACAAACACGUGUGGACAUAUAAACCAAAAGAGAAAAAAAGCUUAAAAUAAAUAAUUACAAAUAUUACAUAGGCCAGAACAGAGAGUUAAAAACACAAAUAAGAAGACGAGAAGAAACCUGAGCCUGUCCCUCCAGCAAUUGAAUGACAGAGAACAAAACCCUCAAGACUAUCACUUCCAUCAGCUUCUCUGUCAAUCAUGUCCAUUAUAUCCUCUUCAACACCCUUUCCCUGUUUGAAAAUAAUGUAUUAUUAAUGAUCAAGGAGCUGGAUUUUGAUAAAAGAUUAUUAAUACAUAACACGUACAAGUCAUGAAACUCAUGUCAGAUUUUUUCAUAAAAAAGUUGCAAUAUGCUUAAUGAUUUCUAUAAACAAGGAAAAAUGAUUCUAAGAUUAAAAAAGAAAAACUGAUAUCCUCAACAUUUCAUGAAAGCAUAUAUCUAUUGAUUCUAUUCUGCCAUCAAUAAAAAAUUACUGAUACUUGAAAUUCUGAUCAUUUUUUUCCUAAUCAACAAGAUGAUCUGAACAUGUUAACUUAAAAUAAUGUGCAGAAGACCAUAAUUGUUUCUGACUGUUACUUGAAACAUACUAUAAUGAUGGAGAAGGGAGAUAAAAGUGAUAAAAAACAAAAGUUGAAACAUUACUCGAAUAGGAUCCACCAAAACAUGCUACCUGAUGAUAUCCACUGGCCCAGUUGUUUCCAGCACCUCCACCAUGAUCAGAAACAAAGAUGUUUUCGUGAUUGUAUAGAUUUUUGUAUUCACUAUUUUGAAUUCCAUUAAUUACUCUAGGUUCCAAAUCUAUGAGUAAAGCACGUGGUAUAUAGUGCUGAUCGUCAGCUUGGUAGAAAAAGACAUCUUUCCUGUCACCUCCCUGCAUCAUCCGUGCCGAGAAAAUCAAGACAUAGAGAUACCGAUGUUUAAAUCGCAAGAACCAACUCACUCCUUAUUCUUUUAUAUCUCACAUAAAAUCAUCUCAAUAUCAACAAAUUACGGGCUAUGUAUCCCUAAUGGGGACCUAAUCUGACAGCUUAAAUAUCAAGUACUUUUUUUAAAAUCAUCAUAGACAUUUAAUUAUUAGUAAAACUGCAAAUAAAUGGAAAAAAAAUUCAAUAUGAAUUCCCAUAAUUAACUGGAAAGUGAAGCUUUAAAGUACAAAAAGUAACAAUACGAAGAGAAAACCUCAAAAGAAAAAGAGAACCUGAGUAGCGAAAUCUUCAAGAAUGCCUUCUUUGCUGAUGCCGUGUUCGAGGCAGAGCUGUUUCCAAAACUCCAUUCCAAUCUGGUUCCCGCAUUGUCCCACCUGCAGUGUUAUGAUUUCUCUCGGCAUUUCUUCUUUCUUUUUUCCUUUCGCUUGAAACUAGGGUUUAGACUUUAGAUCGGUAGGCGCAAAAGAAGGCCUGGCGCCCGACGCUUUUUGAAGGGGGAAAAAAAACAGAAAUGAUGAGAUUGAGAAGAGCCUUUCGGCUUUUUUAUAUGCCAGUGACACUGACCGGUACAAACAGUGUAUAAUUUAUAUUAUGCGCCGGCUUGCUCUUGCCUAAUAAUAAAUGCUAAUUUGCGCUUUAGCUUAACCCGACCUUCCCAUCCUACUCCUCCGUCCCUCCCUCUCUCAUGGGUUUGUUUAUAAAAUUGGGCUUCAUUUAAUGCGUUCCCAUCCAAGGUCUACCCAGGUUACUCUUACUCUGUACUUUUUACUUGAUUAUUUGGGCUCAGCAGGCUCCCAAGGCUAACCACUAACUAGUUCUUGGACGGACCUGAACAAAUUCAGAACUGGAGGCCGAUGUCAGAAAAUAUUCGUUUCAGUAUAACAGGGAAACGAUAGUCUAUAGAAUGUAUUACUACAGUAUUAACUAACUAAAAUAGAUAGCUCCAGUUACCAUAUUCUUAAUCAUUUAGCGUUGUCCUAUUUAUUGUUUGCAUUUCAUAUAGAUUUAUUUCCUUUGAUUAUUUUUUAUCGUUCUUCAAAAUAUUUUUUUCAAGUCAUUUCUUGAUCACGUAAACAAAACCAGAUCAAAUUGGAACUAUCGAAAGCAUACCAAGAAAAUAACAGUCUUGUAGCUUCAAUAAUUGUAACGUGGAGGGAUCAACAGAAAUACAAAUCUAGCGAGCCCAGACAAAAGCUCCCAUGGCGAACUUUCUCUUGUGCUCAACAUCUCCGGAAAUGGGUAAGCUUCCACUCUAGCAUGACCUCGUAGUCAGCUUUGUUGUACCUUGGUAGUACAGUGACAUCUAGAAGUGGCUGCACCAGUUCCUAGCUUGCUGACCAUUUGGCCCACUGCACUGGCUACUGGUUUGACACCCAUUUCUGAAACACCUAAACCGUGUGGUUAUUUGGUUGUGGCCUACUGGCCUUUUUAUAGAUGAACUACUGUAGGGGUAUGUAUUGGAGCAAGCAUUGUCGAGGAGGUGAUGCGAUAUUCCAAAUUAGACGUAACUAAGAAAACAAAACUUCUCAAAAUCAAGGUGGUUUCCUACCAUCUACCCAUUUAUAAUUUCAUACUAAUAAAUGGUAGUAACCAUAAUAAUUCGAUUUGCCAUAGCGGGCCAGUAUUUUGCCAGACCUGCCAGCUUUUAAAAUAGGGUCAGCCAUAUCCUUGGUUUUGGCUUCUUCAGGGCCUCAAAACCUUCGGGCAUUGGCAACAAUGCAACAUAAUUGGAUCUACAUAUUUAGACUUUUCAUUUAAUAUCAUCUAAACAAAAGUAAUGACUGACUUAGAACAUCAAUAGCAGGCAUUUGUCCCACCAAUCCAACAGAACAACCUUUAAGCAAUUCAUUGCGGCGGUCUGUGGUCACUGCAUUGUUAACAAAGCUGCAGCUAAAAUCUAAAAUCUUGUAAAGGAAAAACAUCAGCCACUUAUGAUGGUUUGAUUUGUACCAUAGUUGUCGAUAUCUAUAAAAGCAAAACAAUAUAAGCCAGACUCGGUCAAGAAACAGUUGCUUUGAGUACUGCUCGCUUUCAUUAAUCCAUUACAAUAAUGCAUAGUUCUCUUUCCAACUAUCUGUUAACGUCUCAUCAAGAAACAGAAGACAACUCCAUAAAACAAAGGGAAUUAACCUUCAUUUGUAUGAAUAUGUAGGAAACAAGGUUUUUUCUCAUAACUCAAAUGAGAAAAUGACCAUUCCAAGUAAUCAAACAUGACCACGUUACCUUGUUAGUGGGACUCAUUUUCAUGUCCCAUGUUCAGCUGUAAAAAAUAAAAAUUCUAACUAAAUACCUAAUUGAUGAAUUUCAAUUGGUAGGCGGUGAAACUUUUAAUAAAUUUAAUUUCCUUUAAUAGGAGAAUUGCAACAGAAUUACAUACUUCAGAAAAGAUGUUGAUGGUCAUGACUCUGCUUUAUGGUCAUCUGAAACAAUGACAAGGCUAUCUGGAUCUGAUCUAACUGUUGGAGGCAGGCCUACAAGCAUACUUGGAGGAGCAAAAUACAUAUGUAGAGACAUCAUGCAAAUAAUGAUUCCCAAGAAAAGCUGAAAAAAUGCCAAGAAGAGCAAAAUAAGCAAUCCAAUGUUCAACAAUUGCCAAACAAAACUAGCAGCAUAACCGUCAGAGGAGCCCCAAAAAGUUUCUGUAUGUUUCAAGAACUAUAUUCACAUAAAAUGACCAAAACAGACAGGAUAACUCACAGAUCACCUGACAAGUGGAUAUAAAAUUCCAGACCAUAUGUGUGUAUAUGUGUCUCUUCGUGUGAGAAUUUCUUGUUAACCAUGAAACUAAAACUAAAAGCCCAACGAAAUAUAAAUUUAACACCAUCAUCCAGGUUUGGAACACAGCUACAAUAACACACUUAGAGACUUAGUGUGUGCUUGGUUAAGUGAAAAUUCUGAAGGACGAAAAGAGAGAGUGGAAAAGUGGAAAGAAAAUAAAUUUUAAGUGCAUUUGAUAAGAAAGAAAAAGUGAGAAGAAAAAAUAAAGGAAGGAUAAACAAUUUCUCAUCGUGCAUAAAAACAAGUCAUUCUGAAUUGGAAUGCUAAGAGGGGAGAAAUGAGAGAGAUGUAAGUUAAAUGUGCAUAUUUACAAGAUUCUGUAUUUUCUAAAAUUUUUAUUUUCCUUCCUCUUAUGUUUUAACUCUACAAAGCAAUGAAUGGAAAGGAAAUUACUUUUCCUUUCAUUUUUCAUACCAAGUUAAACCAAUGGAAAGAAAAAUAUAUAUUUUAUCCUUCUCUUUUUCUCCUCCUUUCUCCAUCUUUCCGAUUUUCUUUUCAACUUACCAAGCAAAGCCUUAGAGACUGAAUUAGGGGAUGGAUAUCCAGUUCAGACCACAAUUGAUAACAUAUUCAGGACUAUGUGUGAGAGCAUUUUUCAUUAACCAUGAAACUCAACCCUGAAAAGAAAAUGAAUUGAAUAGCUAUAUCCAGGUAGACUUGCCCAUGGGCUGCGCAGAAUCGGAGCAGAUAUUUUUUACUUCCCUUACCCAGGCCCAGCCCAAAAGUCCAUAUUACGAUUGUUAAAUAGUAGAGUAUUAAACACGGUUUUUAUAUAUUAAUAUUAUUUAUACAUUAAUAAUUAAAUUUAAAUAAAAUAUGUUUCUAAUUAUUAACUAUUAAUUUGGGCUGGGACAGCUUGAAUUGAAAAAAACCUAUCCAAGUAUAGCCUGCCAUUUAAGUUGGAUAUCUCGUUUAGACCACAGCAAUGAAGCCUACCUGAAGUGUUGGCUUGAAACUGAAGAGGAACACAGAGAGAACCAUUGUCAAUAGCAUGGCCAUCGAUGUGGAAUAUACCUGAAUGAAUAAGCAUAAACAACUAGUUGUUAAAGAACUUGAAAAAAAAAAGAAGAGACGAAUUCUACCCAAAAUUUCAGAUUGUCACGAAGCAGUUAAGAAGUUUAGUAGCAUGAAACAAAUCAAGGGGAAAUCUCCAGGUUCGAACAUGAAAACAUGAAAAGAAUCUAUGACAAUAAAACAUUCACCGGCCUACGGAUAGAAAUCACACACAGAAUCAAGAAUAGCUACAAAGAAGAUACCUUGACUAUAUUGUCAGCAUAUUUCAUUAACCAUGAAACCAAAAGCCCAGUAGAACCUAGAUUUAACACAACCAUCCAAGUGGUGACGCUGUAUCCAUUAAACAGCCGUUGCCACCAAGGUCCUUUCUCAUAUCCAGCUCUAAAAUCAUCAACUACAAGCCGUGCCAUGUUCAAGAUUGCACCAAACCUGGAAGAACAUAAAUGAGAAUAAAUCAACCAACAAUCAUGUUCAUUACUUUGAAUGGCUUGAACUUGACAAUAUACUAAUACACAUUGGUUGGUUACAUAUAAGAUUAGAGAAACAAAAAAUACUUUAAAUGCAUAGUAAUAUUCCUCAAAUAAUGAGGCAAUGAACACUUUACAAUAAAAAAAGAUAAAGAAAGGAACCUACGUGUACAACUGUACAUUCUGCCAGUAUAAGCUAUCAUUGUUUUGCUUCAUCAAGAACUCCGUAUACACGCCAGCCAAUGCGGAAAGACAAGCAGAUAAAACUCCUAACAUGUAUCCUUGAAUUGGUGCUGAGAAGAGGGAAUCACAUGAAGCCUCUCCACAACCUUGGACCUUAAUAAAGAGAAGACAGAAGGAUGAUUUGAAUUGUGAAACCUAUACUUAUACUUCACUAAAUUAUAAAUAGAAAAGAGAUGCAGCAAAAGUAAAACAAAUUCUAAAAUUUUAUAGCAGAUAGCCUACUUCAAGAGCAUAAGUGAUAGGUCCUAAUGAGAUACAACAGCUUCCUAUGCAGAGAUGUUACACUCUUAACUAAGCUGUUGCUCCUUGCCACUCCUCCUAAACCUCACUCUCCUUUUAUCUGUCCUUUCUUAAAUUUUCAGAAUGCAAUUAAAUUAUUAAAGCGUUUAUUCCAAUUAUUACUUGCAAAGAAAAUUAUCAACUAGUUCUUCCAACUUAUUUUUUAUUGGAUCUCUCUAAACUUGUUUCAUAAAAGGUAAAACCAUUGCUUGAUUUCUCAUUUCUCACGUGAGAAUCAAGUUUGACCAGCCAAAAUACAUUAAUUUUUUCCAACAGUCAAAACAUAUUGAUCUGGCCUCAAAGUGCAUAUAACUUCAAGCAUUCAUAAACUUUUCUUGUACCACAAGUCAAUUUAACAUAAAUAACAGUAGAGAACAUAAUAAUUUAGUUAGACAUCUCAAGUACCUGGCUCAUGGUUGUUCCAACCGCCAAUAGAAUGAUCGCCAUCCACUGCAGAUUAGAUAGCUUCUUCUUAAGAAAUAACCUAAAUCAAGCAACAAACUCAUCUAUUCAUUUAUGAGAACAAUAUCGAGAUUGUACACUUUUGAGGACAUAAAAAGAUAGUUCAUAUACAGAAUACUGAGAGUAUCACCUGAAUAGAAUUCCAGUAGUGACAAUCUUCAAAUUGCCCAUAAUCUGAUACGUCGAAGUAUCGAGAUACAUAAGAGUAGCAAACUGGACAUUAUUAUGGAUUAAGUAAAUGACAGACGGAAUGGGGAACAAUCGAACAGUUUUCCAAUCCGUUGUCAUUUUUGGAGGAGGCAAUUUCUUACACUCUCUCCAUAGAAAAACACUCGAUAUAAUAAGCUGUAAACAAAAACAAAUUACUCAAAAAUAAACAAUCCUUUUUCAGAUAUAAAAUUAAGAAAGUACAAUGGAAAUUUGAAAAAGUACCUUAAAAACCUCUGCAAGGAAAGGAACGGUGGCGUAAUCAUAUUUAUAUUUGCCAUUGCUUUGCGAUAGAGUUGUUAAUAUCCCCUGCCAAACAUUAAAAUGAAUUUAGAUCUAAUAGUUAUAUUAAGUUAUUAGGGUUAAGGAUUUGAGGGAGGAGACGAAGGAAAUUCAUGGGAGUGGGAAAAGCGGAAUGAAGAAGGAGAAUUGAGAAUUAGAGUUUGAAGUAAAAGAGAAGAAAACAGUGACCUGAGAACUGGUGAGGACGGUGAGGAGAAAAGCUGCUAUGUACCACUUCAUCUUUCAUUUCUUACAAUCCGCGUACUGAAGUAGAAGCAUUGUCAUCUGCUGCAAGAGAGCAACCAGUACUGCGACAGUGAAAGAGCUACCACCAUUGGAAGCAACGAUCAGUUAAUACAACCGACACGUCGUCGUAUUUACGCCGCCCCGUUUUCGCGUCGUUUCCUUUUUGUGAGUUAAAACACUUGAUAGAGGCUGAGAUCAUAUGUCAUUUCUUGUGGGGCCAUGGCCCUUUUUUUAAUGGAAAAAAAUUAAUAUAAAUUAAAUAAAAUUUAUUUAAUAAAAUAAAUAACAUUUUUAAAAAUUUAAAUUCUUCUGUUAUUCUUUGUACCACGCUUAAAAUGUGUGUUUAGAUUUUGUUAUAUUUAAUUUUUAUACUUCAAAUUAAGAAUAUUGAUCGGAUAAUAUACAAUUUUAUACAUAAUACAUAAUUAAUAUUAGAAUUUAAUUAAAUAGAUUUAAUUAUUGUUAUUUAUUAAAUUUAAAUAUAAGGAUAAAAUCUAUAACUUACAUAUUACAUAGUGAAUAGGGAUUAAUAAUAAUAUUUGAGCUAUAAAAAAUAAUCAAACUCUUUACUCACGAUGGGAUGAAUUGAGUUUGGGCCAUAUAAGAUAUUUAGAUUAAUUUUUUAAGUUUAGAUUUAUCUCGGUCUAGAAAAUGAGCUUACUUUUCUUCCUAAGCUCGACCAAUUUAAUAAAGAUAAAAUUGGGUUCAGUAAAUAAAUAAAAUCAAUGUUUUAUUCUAUUAAACGUCAUUUUUAAAUUUUUAUAUUUUAGUUGGGUUAUUUAGUUGGAUAGAUUUUUAUUUUUUUAGGUAUUGGGUGAAAGAUUUAAUUGUUAUUGAGUUAGUGAUUUAAUAUAAAUAUAUAAUUAUUAUUUAAUAUAUAUAAUUAAUAUAAUUAUUUCUUAUAACAUAAUAUAUUUGAACUAAACUAAGUUUGAACCAAAAAAAUCUUGCCCAAGGCAUCCCCCUUUGUAAGUCUUUGGGUCGAGUUUGGGUAAAAUUUUAAGUCUAUUUUUUAGUAAAAUCUAGAAUUUUACUUUAAGCCAACUCAUGAUAAGUCUAAUUACAAAAGCCCAAAGACUUACAAAGAGUCAAAACUCAAUUACAAGAUAAGCAUGUACUUAAAAUACUAUUAAACAUAUGUUUGAUUCUUGAAAAAGUUGUUUUUAAUUAUUUUAUUUAAAGAUGAUAUAAAAGUAUGAAAAAAUAAAAGAGUGAUAGUAAUAUUAAUUAUAAUUUAAAAGAAUGUAUACUUUUGUAAUUUUAUAAUUGAGUUAGUGUCUCGAGUAAGGAUGACGUAACUCAAUAAAAUGUUUAAAUAUAAGUAUUACAUUAGAAAUUCCAAACCGCAUAAGUAGGAUUUAAAAAUUGAUAUAUACUCUCUCUCUCUCUCUUUUUUAGUGAAUUAGAAGAGGAGGGCAAAACCCUAACAACAGUGCAAUUAUUGCGACUCAAACACAUGCCACACCUGGGGCAGGAAUACUUUGACUAUCAACACAUGGGACAAAUUAAGUAUAAAAAAAAACAUGCUUACUUAUAGGAAUAAAUUUAUUCAAUUAUAGAUGCUAAUCCAAAAUAAUCAUUUCAUAAAACUUACGAUAUACAAUAUAAAGUUAUAUUUAAAAUUAAAAUGAUUUACUCAAAUAUAAAUAUUAAAAUAUUUUUUAAUAAUUGUGAAACUCGAUUUAAUGUGGAAUGAAUCGUUUUUAUGUUACAAUUUACACCAACACAUAGUUUAUUGGCAUCUCGAAAUUCUAAGGUUUUAAUUUGAACUUUACAAUUAAGCCAAUGAUUGAUGAUUAGUGUGUAAUUAGAAGGAAUAAUUCAGUCAAAUGUAAUAAUUGAAUUGAAGCUAAAUGAGAUUAAGUAACAAGGUAAAAAGAUUGAUAUAUAACGUCAGGAUCCGAGUGUAAUCAAUUUAUUUUACCCCUAGGAUUAAGCCUUCACAGCCCUGGAAAUACGUAGUCAAUCUACGAGAGCAGAAAUUGGAGAAGUAAGAAAAAUACAGGAAAAUAAUGCAUUAGAAAUGGCCGAACAAUGCGAUCUAAAAGCCAUGAACAUCGAAACUCGCGGGAACACCAUGCCAUUGCCACCCAAUCUGACAAGUGUUUGGUCACGUCAGUGCCUCGUCAAAAACAAACUUUGCCUUCAAUCAGACACACCAAUCACCGCCAUUACACACACAAUUUCCCCGCCCAACACAAUACUCCUUGUAAUACUAAAUUCCAUUCACUUCUUUGACAUCCCUUUUCAUUAUCAUGUACAUGGUUUCGAUUCUGGAGUUCUGAAUUUUCCUGUUUUUUGCUGAAGUUCGAUUCAUAAAUGGCGGAAUCUAUCGAUUCUUAGUUUUGCUGCUAUAUUCCCGAUUUUUGAAGGAGGCUUUGAAUUCUUUUAUAUUGGGAUCGGGGAGGAAUUAAAAAAAGCUUCUGUAAGUUCCUAUCACCUUCAUUGAUCCGAAAGGAAGCAAGUUUGGCCUGUUUUUCUAUGGUAAGCAAUAUCAUGUUUCUGUAAUAUUCACUUGUUUUUCAUUUGAUUCCUCUUCUUUUUAAUUCGUAUAUAAGAUGAGCACUAUUGUUUACAUAUGCCGUUUUGAUAGAGCCUCCUUGUUCUAGUCUUAGACCAAAAUGGAGCAAUUUCGGCAGAUAGGGGAGGCUUUAGGAAGUUUGAAGGCAUUAAUGGUUUUUCGUGACAACAUCCAAAUUAACCAGAGGCAAUGCAUUUUGUUGCUAGAUAUUUUUUAUUCUGCAUACAAAUCGAUAGCAGAUGAAAUGAAAGAUAACCUGAAAUUCGAAGAGAGGAACUUGAAAUGGAAAGUUCUUGAAAUGCCAUUGAGAGAGCUCCACAGGAUUUUCAAAGAAGGGGAAGCCUACAUCAAGGAAAGCUUGGAAUCUAAAGACUGGUGGGUUAAAGCCAUAACUCUCUAUCAGAAUACUGACUGCGUCGAGUUGCAUAUCAGUAACUUGCUUUCCUGCAUUCCGGUUGUCAUUGAAGCAAUCGAAUCUGCAGCCCAACUGUCCGGUUGGGAACAAGAUGAAAUGCAAAAGAAAAAACGGGUGUACUCCAAUAAGUACCAUAAAGAAUGGAUUGAUCCUGAACUUUUCCAAUGGAAAUUUGCAAAGCAGUAUCUUGUUACUCAAGAUUUUUGCAAUAGGAUUGACAAUGUCUGGAAAGAAGAUAGAUGGAUCCUUAAAAACAAAAUCCAAGAAAAGGAAAACUCAAGGUUGAGAAAGCAGGAGAGAAAACUUGCAGAUUUGCUUUUGAGAAACUUAGAUAGUUCAAAAUCUUUAAAAGAUAAGCUUUUACCGAGUUCGAUUCUAUUGGGGUGGAAGGACUAUCAGGUUAGACGGCGGCUCGGUAAUGGGAGUCAAUACAAGGAGGUUUACUGGUUAGGUGAAAGCUUUAUUCUGAGACACAUAAUUGGAGAUGUAGAAGCAGUAGCUUCUGAUAUUUCUUCAUUAUUAUCUCUUUCCCACCCAAACAUACUGCAUUUCCUUUGUGGAUUCACUGAUGAAGAAAAGAAGGAAUGCCUUUUGGUCAUGGAACUAGCGCAUAAAAGCCUCUGCGACUGCAUAAAAGAAACUUGCGGCCCAAGAAAGCGAACAUCGUUUUGUCUUCCGGUCACUGUUGAUCUAAUGCUUCAGAUUGCAAGGGGAAUGGAAUAUCUACACUCAAAUAAAAUCUACCAUGGUGACUUAAAUCCUUCCAGCAUUUAUGUUAAGCUGAGAGGAACAUCUUCGGAAGGGUACAUGCAGGUGAAAGUUUCAGGAUUUGGCUUGUCUUCAAUACCUCAGAGGGGAGCAGCGAACCAGAAUGAAACACAGUCAUUCAUUUGGCAUGCACCAGAGGUUCUAGAGGAGCAAGAACAGUCAGGAAGUAAAGUGAAAUUAAAGUUCACUGGAAAAGCAGAUGUGUAUAGCUUUGGAAUGAUUUGCUUUCAGCUUCUUACUGGAAAAGUCCCAUUCGAAGAUGGCCAUCUUCAAGGGGACAAAAUGAGCCGAAACAUAAGAGCAGGGGAGAGGCCACUGUUUCCUUUCAAGCCACCAAAAUCUAUAACAAGCUUGAUCAAGAGAUGUUGGCAUGCUGAUCCGGAUCUAAGGCCUAGCUUCCUAUCCAUCUGCAGAAUUCUUCGGUAUAUAAAACGGUCACUUCUAAUGAACCCUGAUUAUAACAGUCAGUCGGAGUUACCGCAGCCGCUUGUGGAUUACUGUGACAUUGAUAUGAGGCUUCAACGGAUAUUCCCCACAUGGGAAACUCCCAAUUCAUUAUCCACAUCACAAAUCCCUUUUCAGAUGUUUGUUUAUAGAGUAUUGGAAAAGGACAAAACAGGAGUUCCUCUCAAAGACACUUCGGAAUCGGGAAGCGACAGAAAUUCGGCUAGUGGCGAUGAAAAUGUCACUACUGAUGAGCUAUACACAUCAGCAACUGACAGGUCCAUGCCUUCACCUGAACCACUGCCUAGGAUAAAUACUACAAUGAAGAAAUCUGCAGAUAUUAGAACAAAACAUCCAGGUAAUCAACCACAUUCUCGAAUUUUCUUUUCAUUCAUGCAUUUCCUCUUGAAACAAUAAGGCACAACACCAAAUUAUCGUUUCAUGUCAAAAUUUAAACAUUGGAAUUCAUGCUGACAGCCUGUGUCUUCUUUUCCAGUGACACCUAAAGCAAGAUCAACAAGACCUCCAAUGAAUCAGCGUGUCCGCAGUUUCAGAAUGAGUUCAGAAAGCCAGCUGCUCCUAGUGAGCCCCAGACUACGGAGAUCAUCAUCCGGCCAUGUCUCAGACUCUGAGCUCUCCUAGCCUUUCUCAACAUGUUGAUUGCUUAGACACAGAAACAAUGUUUGAUCUAGUUUGCAGUGAUGAAAUGCUUUGCCAGAUCAACAAUUACAGGGAAAGAAAAGUUCAACUGAAGAUGAAACAGAGUGGAAAAAUAGUAUUCAAACAGACAAUCCUCGGAACAAGUGCUCAGAGCUAAUCGAGUUUUCAAAGUUUUAAGGGCGGGAACAUGUCAGCUUACACUGGCUGCACCUUACAUCUGUAAAUUUGGUAAUUGUACUGAACAAUCAUAAUCUUUGAUUUAUGAAAGACAAAGACAUUUUUUGCUACAACUUUAGCAGAAACAAUUCAUUAAUGCUCAACACAUAGCAUACAAAUUCUUUAAGCCAGUUCAAUAAGCAGUUCAAUUUUGUUUUUUACCUUCUCCUUUGGAUACCUUUAAUUAUAUAAUAAUUGUACUCAAUUAAUCUAUAUGGUUAUUCUUGUUUCCAUACAAUAAGAAGGAACCAUGUAAGUAAGAUAAUCAAAUCCUAAUGACGCUAUUAAAUACAUACAAACUGUAUAUAGGUGCUGUCUAAGGGCCUUUACAACAAUACUAUAGUCAGCAAAUAGAAACAUAUAUAACAGUUAAAAUCUCAAGGGAUUUCCAUUUUGUAAUGGUGGGAAGGUCCCUCACAUCCAUAGAGAUCUACAAACUACUUCUCAAUCAGAAAGGCUAGUUUUCUAUUUGUUCGCAAUAGCGAGAAACUUUAUGGAAUUAAUCAUAAAGGAACUAAUAUCUACAAACCAAUAAGCAAAAUGCCUCCUAACUCUUUAAGAACUAAGAAGCAUUGUUGAAUGUUUCUUAAACACAAAAGUCUUGGGGGGGGGGGGGCACAUACUUCUUCUGCUACUAAGUCUAUCAGUAAUGUUUUUGCUCAUGAACUAUUGCAACCCAAGAAAAUUUUUGGUGCCACCCCUCAUCAAGGUUGCCAUUAAAGUUAAAUGCAACGCUGUUCACAAGGAGCAGUCGAGAUAAAUCUGCAGGCCGCCAACAACUGAGAAGAGUAUUGUCAUCUUUAACUUCCAAUUCCAAGUGGUUAAGGCUUAUGGUCAUGCACUUGUAAAGAUGCCAUACUCCAACGGCCAUAGCAGUUUUAGUAGGAAACCAGAGAGUAAUAUGACUGCGUGCAUGGGCACACUCAAUUGAAGGCAGACUCAAAGUUGGUGCACAAGUUUUUGCUCUCAUUUUUACCCUUCAGCCUCUGCAAUUGAACCAAAUCAUGGGUUUCUCAAAGUAAAUGUAAUCUAUCUUUAGGACGACCAAGCUAAUUACAGGUUAUUGAGCAGAACUGAUUUUGGGGAAAGGUUUUCAUCACACUAGUUUCAGUAAUUCUAUACUUCCAGUUGAGUUGGCAGCAACAAGCAUGUUUGACUUUUGUCUCCAACAGACACUUGAAACGAACUGCCCAUUUUCAUCACCGGUUUGAUGCCCAGAAAUAGGAUCAACAGACCCGAACUUAUACGAAGUGAUGGGCAUUGGCAGAGAUCUAUAAUAACAAUAGACCUACAAAAGUAAAAAAAAAAAAAGAAGAAGAUUUGGAUAUCAGCUGUGUUGGCUCAGUUAUAUAUGCAUGCAAACCAUGUGUAAUGUCAAUGAUCAUAAACAAAAAGAACAGAGAAAAUCCAGAAUUGAGCCAUGGAUUUCAGCACCUGUUUUUUGUGAUUAAACAUAUUUACCUCAUUCGUUUCUGAACCACAUGCUAUAUAUCCAUCCAAGACAGUUAAACCCACAAAGUUCUGAUGAAGCAAAAAACAAAUAGUUAACACAGAAAUAUUGCAGAUGCUCAAAAUUUGUAGAGAUGUAGAGAAAAUAUCUAACCUUCUCAUUUUUAUGGCCACUAAAGGUUAAGCAGCAAGUAUUGGUGGUCGAUCCAUCCGAGCAAGUUUUCUUGAGAUCCCAUGACUUCAGGGUGUUGUCAGUGGAUGCAGAGAGAAGGGUGUUGGAAUCCAAGAAUUUGACAUAGCUAACAGCUUUUUCAUGGGCAGCCAGUGUGCACAAGGGGAUUCUAGAAUGACGGAGAUCGUAGCAAUAGACUUUGUAGUCAGCCGAUCCAAAUGCCAACAGAUGCGGAGAGAAACUAGAGAACUGAACACAGCAGACAUUUGCAGGGCUCCACAAGGUUCCAAGCGAACUUUUCUGCUAUCAAAGUUUUCUUCAUAAGCUUCACUGAAAACAUACGAGCUGCUGUUCCAAAACUCUUACAUGUGCAUGCAAGCAUGUAGGUGUUUGUGAAAACACCAAAACUUUCACAUGCUACGUGAUAAGUGAGGCAGGAAAGCAUACCUCGUUAAUGCUCCAAAGCUUCACAGAGCAGUCAUCACUUCCACUGGCAAACUUUGUUGGGUCAGCUUGAGAAAAGUCGACAGACCACGCCCUCUUUUGGUGUUCAUUGUAUUGACAGAGUCCUUGACCAGUUCCCGCAUCCCAUGUCUGUACACAUAAGACACCGUUUUAUCAAUUAAAUACAUGGCAACAACCUUCAUUCAAAAAUAAAAAUACCAUAUUCCAACACAAACCAGAAGGAAAAUUGAAUGCUUAGACAGAAGUUCAGUAGUUGCAAUUACUCUUCGAUGCAAUAGAGCCAAACAUAAUCCAACGUUGAGGCAAAUGGUAUAGAUGUCAAUAAAAUGCAUAAAAAAUAACUACAACAUUGAUCAUGAAAAGAAUUUACCAGUCUACUGGAACAGUACCAAACCGAUGAUAGAUCAUAUACAUCUAACAAAUAUAUUGCUAUAUAUAAUGUUGUUGGGAUAACACCUGAAUGCCUUAUUUGACCAACAUGCACAUCAAGGUAUCUUUCAAGUAUUUACCUGGACAACGCCAUCAUAAUCAGUUGAAGCCAAAUAAUUCUUUACGUAGUUGUUCCAGCACACACAGCUAAUCUUUGACUUGUUUGACAUCUCAACAACGGGAUAGUGGAUAUCAAUAGAAUCAUUCAUGAAUGCAUCGAACUCGAAAAUCUUGAUUCUCUUUGAUAUGCCAGCAGUAGCAAUAUAAUCCUCAUUACGGUCAAAACUAAGAGUGCAUAUCACAUUUGCAGAGUUUAGAAGGUCUCUAUUUCUUAUUGUUCCACAGGCUUCAAACUUGCUAUAGCAAGCAAACUUGCACAAACCUUUGAAAAAGCUCCCAAGGGGAUCAAUAGAUUUCUGAUUCAUUCUCAGCUUUCCAUUCUCACUUUGUGACUCAGACAACUUGCCUCGUUUCUUCAGUAAGUCUUUGUCAGAGACUGCUGCAGCAGCAGUUUCAGAAGAGUGGAUUUGGGAUCUCAUGGAGAAGUAGGCAUGCUCGAGUUGCCAGAUAUUUUUCGACAACCAUCCAUCAUUUACAUCUGACUUCAAAUUUGGUACACAAUGAGCAACUGAAGUUCCAGGAUUUUCAGAAUGCAUCCACUUUUUUCCUGCAUCAGGAAAUCCAUUUUGUAUUUGAGGGAAAACUGAGGAUGUCCUUAAUGCUUGCCUUCUCUUAGCUUCCUUAAUAUCUUCUUCUAAGAACCUAAUCUCUUCCAUCAAUUUGGAGGCACGCUUCUGCUUUUGUUCUUCUAGUUUAGUUAGAAAAUGUAGUAAUAUCUCUGAUACAGCAACAUCAUUACCAGGAGAUUCUGAUAAAUUAUUCCCGCUAAUCUUUUCUUGGGAUCCACAAAAUAAAUCAGACUGCAAGAUUUCCCUGUUUUUGUACAGAAUUUAAAUGUUCUUAAAGGACUAAAACAAAAAGAAUCUACAUUAAAUCUUAAUGCAUUGCAGUAGAGUACAUAAUCUACAUACCAACAAAAUGAAGUAGAAGCACUUGGAAUUGUAAUGACGUCAUUUUAUUUAGCGAGUCAGGAAAUGACAGUAAAGUAAAAAAACAAUUACUAAUGUGCAGGCUAGAAAAGGAUAGACCCGAGUAGUGAAUUUUACAACAUAUACUAACUUCUAUCUGAAUUGUUUUUCUUGCAAUUCAAAAUAUAAAAUGACAGCUUAUAGUAAACAAAACUGCUAUAUAACUAGUAGUUAUUGCAGCUGAUGACCGGUAAUAAAAGAUUCAUGGAUACCUAGUUGUUGGACGAGAGAGAGGUCCAGGAUGAAGAAGCCAAAGACAAAAGGCAGCUUCCUUGGGACUUUCUGAAAGGAAAUUUGGUGGAAGAAUCCGCUGGCUCAAGUCUGACAUCAUUGCAGAAUGCUGCUCCAUUGAUUCAAAACAAUAUAGCAACUGAUAGAAACAGCCCGCAUUAGUAGAAACGAUAGCCUAUCAACUCUACAGUGAAAAGUAUAGCAACUGAGAUAUAUUCGAACCAGAUGCUUAAUGGCAAACCAGAUGUGUUUAAUGGAAAACCUUUUCAGAUGCAUUCUAGAGAAGUUAUGGGUUGAAAGCAUGCUCAGGUACUGGGGAAAUACACAGCAUCGGGUUGUAAUAAACAUAACUUUUAGAUUAUAAAGAUUCAAGUAUUGGACCCUAUCUCAAAGGAAGCAUCAGUACUAGGAAGCAUUAAUUUGUUCCAACUUACUCUAUACUGUAAAAGUCAAGAUUCAUGUGAUUAGCGGUUUUAAGGUUACUCUCUCAAUGACACGUGCAAAGAGACAAAUACACAAAAAGGGCACCAGAUCAUGUGAGGAAGAAUGUCUCGCCCAUUAGUGAGAGAGUACAAUCUAUAUUGUCCCAAAUUUUUGUGAAUCACAUUUUUCCUUUCCCCCUUUUCCCUAAUAGGCACAAAUUGCAGUACUACAUUCAGUGCCCUUUUUAUUGGUUCAGUUUCAAUCAUCAAUUAAUAUAACAAUGGAUAAGCCAUUACAACAUAAUACCUACCCCUGAAGUGAUGAAAAAUCAAGAUGUGCAAGGAUUCAGGGAUUGGAGUUUUUUCACAUACUUUAAUGUUACGGUCUUAAAUGAUUCACCCUAAUAUCUCAGAUCAAUAAAAUCUAUGGUUCAAAGACGCAAAAACAAGACUUAUACUCUUAGUAUGGUUGACCUAAUAGCUAAUACAGGGUUAAAAUGCAUCAUAUUCUAUGCAGAGAAAAGCAAAGAAGGAAACCGGAAGUAUUAACAAAUAUGAAAGACUAAUAAAGCUCCUCACCUCAAAAAGGAAAACCCCAAGGCUAUAUAUAUUUGAUGAAAAUGUAAGGCUUCUUCCAUUGAGCUCCCCGGGGCAAGCAUACCACCUCUCCUCCAUUUGUAUAGCUGCAGAAAUAGACUGCACAACAGAUGGUGUAGCAUAGUGGAAAGUUGGAGGCUGGUUGAGAAAUGAGGUAGAAUGUUGCUUAAUAGAUGUAUAAAAGCCAAUAUUUUUUUGCAUCUCGGUCUUGGAUCCAUGAGGAGAGGCGAAUUCUGUUUUGUAUCCAGGAGGUUGCAUGUUCUCAUUGUGCUUUAGCUUCUUUGUACCUCGUCUGCAAUUGGAAGCAUUCAUACCUUGUUCCAGGUCCCUUUUCCUCUUCAAAUCAUUAUUUACUGCAGACUCUAGUCCUUGCUUGACAGACUGACCAGUAUAGAUUACCCUAUUAGGUGGUAAUAAACAGAAACAGGAUGGUCGUAAGUCUUGCAAGACAACUCCUUGCAAAUGUGCUGAAUCCACCAGCUCCACAAUCUGCCUGAAUAUAAUCAGGCUUUCAACUUUAUCCUCUUUUCGACUCCCUAGUUUUAGCCAUUCCCUCAAACUAAUCGCAUUGGGGCAAGGGUCAGUAGUAGACCUAUCAAUCCCAAGUAAACAAGGCUGGUCAUGUGGGUCUCUUCUGAUAAUGUCCUUUCCUUUCAUACCUUUCUUGACAAAUAACUGAGAAAAGCUAGGCCUAGAUGACAUUUUCAACCGAGCAGCUGCAACUGACAAUGAAUUGCUCGAGGUACCCAAGUGGUCAUCAGUAGCCUUCAAAUGCAGAGCCAUUCCCCCUGUCGUCUGGUCAAUAUCCUUGCUCUUAUGGUUCUCAUAAGACAUUCUUGCAAGUUGCUCUUUUGCUCUCAACAAGACAUGGUUUGCGUUUUCAUCAUCUAAAAACUCGUGUUCCAGCCUUUGAUUAUGAUACAUUCGUUCCCUCUGACCCUGCCUUAAGUUGUUCCAGUUCUUGGUUAAACUUAAAGUUGAGCUCUUAUAGUUUUCCACAGUCAAUUCUUCGACUAUUAUACCAGUCUCGGUCUCGGUCUCAUUCAUAGAAGUCCCAGGAUAUUGAGGUGCAAAGCGACUCAAACCAUUCAUUAGCGAUUCCAUCAAAAUGUGACCUUCUGAUUUCAAAGGAAAAAUUAAGUCCUUUCUUUUGAAUUCAGCAGUCUCUGGUAAUUCAUUGGCCGCCAUUUCUUGCCCAUCUCGUUCCAUACUAUCCAAUUCCAAAUAAAACCCAAUUCAAUCAUUUCUGUUUUGUUUUUGUUUUUACUCUACACAUUAUUAUAAGAACUACAAACAACACAUAUAAUGAAAGAUAAAGGGCUGCCAAAAGCUAGAAAUUUAUUGUAUCUACACAAAAAGAAAAAACAAUUGGAUGUUGAAUCAUAUAUUAAAACAAGUUAUCUUCUAUUCAAUGCAUCAUUUCAAAUCUCAAUACUGAAGCAAAUAAAUUCAAUUUCAACUUCAACAAACAAACAAACAAACAAAAAAGGAAAUUGGGUGUCUAAAAAAUUAAAAUAAAAACCACCUUUAUCACAUGAAAAUCUCUUCCCAAACUAUCAAAGUCGAAAUUGAAAAACCAGAAGAAGUAACUUACACAUCUAGGACCAAGGGCAAUUCAGCUUUUUAGCAGAGAGCAGUUAACAGUUACUCUCAAAUCCAACCAAGAAAAGAAAAUAAAAGAAAAACUUGCCAGAAAUGGAAACAAGAAAUAUUAUAAAAAAUUAUAAUUUGGGGUAUGUAAAAGAAUAAUAAUAUUAAUAAUAUCUUCUCAGUUAUUAGACAUACCAAAGCUGAGUCGGAAACAGAACAACGUCUUUUCGGUGUCUCCUAGAUAUUCUUUAUUUUUUUUCCUUUUUAAGUUUUUUUAAUUUUGAAGUUAAUCAAAAUUAAAAUGAUUCAAUUUUGUUUGGUCCGCGAAUUUUCAAGAUUUUUUAUUUUAAUUAUUCUUUUUAGAAAGAAAAAAAAAGGUGAAAUUUAUUGGAUCGGUUCUCUUUUUCUAUGGGAAAAAUUAAAGACAACUGGGUUGCUUCAACGACUUCGCUGAGCUCAGAGCCGUCUCAAAUGUAAGGAUGAAACAGCAGCCACGAUAUUUUUCCCUGCAAAAAUCUUUUAGUCAAAAUAAAAGAUAAUAAAUAAUAAAGGGUUUGGAAUCUCUUAGAAAUGUAAAUGCCACUGGUUUUGUUAAUUAUUAGCAAACCUGCCAUCGAAGGCUCCCCCAUUGUCGGCGCUGUUAAAGCACAGUGACGAGAGAAGACGGAACACGUGGCGAACAUGCAGGCGUUUGACACACAUCCGAACAAAGGCGAUGGAGACACGGCUAGUUUGUGGAUAGCCUCACAAAGCGUUGGAU